ACAGGCUUUCCCACCAUAUGAUGUCAUCAUUCGGUUGUGGUGACGUGGAUCAGCUUACUGGAAGUACUUACUUGUGUGUCAAAAGUAUCCACAGCUGUAGUUUUUAGUUCAAACCUUGGCAAGGCUUUGGAGAACUUGUGAGGGUGAGGUUUUAUAGCUUUGGUUUUAGAAUGUGUUCCCUUUUUCUGUGUUGCAGUUUCUUCUGUCCAGAGGCUUGCGAUAAGCAUCUCUCCAGAAGCCGAAAAGUCAGUUUCUUGAUCCAUUUGAGCAUGCUCAGCUAACAGGCUUUCCCACCAUAUGAUGUCAUCAUUCGGUUGUGGUGACGUGGAUGAUGGCUUACUGGAAGUACUUACUUGUGUGUCAAAAGUAUCCACAGCUGUAGUUUUUAGUUCAAACCUUGGCAAGGCUUUGGAGAACUUGUGAGGGUGAGGCUUUAUAGCUUUGGUUUUAGAAUGUGUUUGGGGUUUUUUUCUCCCUUCUUCCUGGAACUGAACCUUCUUUUUCAGGUGGUGACCAUGCCAAUAGUUCUUGACAUCAUUAGCAGUCCUCCCUGGAAGCCUACCCGCAAUCAAGGACCAUCUAUACACGCACAACAUCAGACAAAGUAUCAACUGAACAGCUCUUUUGUAAGUUCUGAACAGCUUCAGAACUAAUAUAAUAUCAUUAUCAAGCUAGUACUUGAGUUAUUAUAGACUUGCCUGUUCCCCAACAAAUUGUGAAGCCUAAUCAUGAGAUCAACCUCGUCUAAUGCAAACUCUCCUCUCUUGAUAUCUGGCUUCAAAUAAUUGAGCCAUCUCAAUCUGCAGCUCUUUAGGCAUCUAUUCAACCCUGCAAACUCAAGAAAACGAAACUCUUUAAGCAAAACAGAAGUAAAAAAAACACAAAUUAAUACUGAUCCCUUUCUCUUUCAUGUCACCUGCUCGGAGGGGAACCAGAUGCCACUUUCCUUCUCCAUAUUUCUCAAUGCAUUUCCUCAGGAGAACAUCCUCUUCUUGGGUCCAUGCACCCUUUCUAACUCCUAAGCUCUUCAUCGAGUCAACUCAACACAAGAGACCGGCUCCUUCUCUAAUUAUUGAUUGAUAUAUAACAACCUCGAACCUGUUCUAUCUCAUGACUCGGACACCAGACCCCUAAUUGGUUGAUUCGACACGUUUCUUAUGGUGCAUUACCUGGCUUCCGAAUGCGAUGGACAUCAUGGACAAAGGGUGUGUGUCAUAAGAGAUAUUUACCCAUUAUGUAUCAACUUACUAUAAAUGUACAGCGAAAUUUAGGAAUUAAUUGCUGACUAGUAUCCUUUAUGAACAAUCUCUAUUUUGUGGUGCAAAUGUAUAAACUGGUGUGAUCCCGAAGACAACCACGUGCUACCAUAUUUUAAUGUCCAGAGGAAUUCAUUUGGACAUUGGUAGGAUGAAUGGGACAUUACGUAGAAGAUUUGGAUUCUGAUACCACUGUUUCCUUGACAAAAAGCAACCAAGUGAUGGGAACCUUUGAGGGCCACCGCUCCUCUUUCAACUUUAACAUUUUCUUUUGUCGACUAACCCAUGUUCACUGAAAAGGGAAGCUCCAUGGGUCCUCUACCAUUAUAUUAUGGCCGCUAUGCAGUGGCAGCAGCUAAUUCAUGGGAAUUGUCAGCGAAGAAAGGUACAAUCAUUAGGAUAUGCCUCUGGCUCGCGGAGGACUUUGUUUCUGACCAGUAACGUCGAUAAAAAUACAUUUUAGAACUUUUUCUAUUGUCAAUUCAAUGACCGGGUUCAUUCUCAACCAUCCAUCUGUUGCUUGGGACGUGUGUCAUUUCCUACAAUGUACUCUCCUCACUGACAAUUAUUUUCCCUCAAAUAUAUACAAGUAUAAAAAUUUGCAUAUAAAUUAAAAUUGUUUUAAAAUUUGAAAAAUGAUGGAAAUUGAUAAAAGUAUAAAAAUUUCACCUGAACCUUUGAAAUUUUUUGAUAAAAUAAGUAAUGUGUAGAUAUUAAAUUAUUAUAUUUUAAAAAAAUUAAUAAAAUAACAAAUAUGAGUUUUCAAGUGAAUAUUUUGAUUAGUAGUGUUAAGAAAAAAAAUUUGUUAUUGUUAAUAAAAAUAGAAGAAAGUUAUGAUUUUGCACACCAGUAAUUCCUUAAUUCUGCAUGCAUCAUUUUCUCCAAAGACCUUUUGACAUUAAAGAAGGAAAAAAGAAAAAGAAAAAAAAAGAGCUUAAUAUAGAGGCAGCAAUAAGAUAUCUUAUUGAAGAAGACGUUUUUAGACUUAUGUGGGAACAUUAUAGGCUUUAAUGAAAUUUUUAUAAUAUCAUUUUUAUCUUCUUUUUUUCUUAAUUAAAAAAAGUUGUUAUUCCAAAUAUAUCAUUUUCUAAACCUAAACUAUUUAAUCGGCGUGUAUUAUUGGUUUAAUGCGAAUUAAAAACCAAAGUUCCUUCAUUUUUUAUUGCUUUAAUGUGGAAUGUAAAAAAAUUAAUUGGUUAAAAGAGAUUCAAUACUCCUCGUAUUUGUGAAUUUAUCGCUUCCUUCUUUUUACUUGAAAAAUAACAUAUUUUUUAUUAUAUAAAUGUCACUUAUCAUCUCAAGUAUUUAUACAUAAUUUUAAGAGAAAUGAUUAUUUUUAUAAGAAAAAAGUGAGGAUAUUUAUACCAAAACGAAGCCAAAAAAGAAUGGAGGGUUAAACCCUAUUUGGUAACUAUUUUUUAAAACCGUUCUAAAAAAUAGUUUUUGAAAAUUAUUUUAUAAUUUUUUAUAAAAUAAAAGUCGGUUUGAAAACCUAAAAUAUUUUUAACAUAUUUUAAUAUUUUUAAAAAUAACAUUUUAUAUCCAAUGUUUUAUUUUUAAAUUAUAUUAUAUGUUUGUAUAAUUAUUUUUUAAAAUAAUUUUUUAAAAAUAAAUAAAAAUAAUAUAAAACAAUUAAAAUAUGUUAUAUAAAAAGACUUUAUUAUAUAUUCUUAGAAACAUAAAACAAAAAAAAAAAAUUCUAGUUGUAAGACUGUAGACCCCUUUUGUGGUGAGGGCCCGGAGAGUUGUUAUUUCUUUCCUUUUCAUUAUAUCCUUGGAAGGGGGGACCUCCCUGAAAGCAGCUGCAUGGUUUGUGGUGAGGCCCCGUGAGAGUUGUUAUUUCUUUCCUUUUCAUUAUAUCCUUGGAAGGGGGGACCUCCCUGAAAGCAGCUGCAUGGACGUGUAGCAAGAGAGGAUGGUUGGCCAUGGUGGUGGGUGAAUAUGACGGAUUGGCGGAAUGGUGCACAGUGGAGCGGGUGAUGGCUUGCUGCAGAAGACAGGAACAGGGGGGAGGAGAUAUUUAGCUGAAAUUUUCCUUUGGCUUGACGGGGGGGAAGACCUUUUUUUCGUGAGGCUUUUGAGAAGAAAACCAGAGGUGUGCUGAGAAGGAGGGGCCUCAACAAGGAGAAACCGGAGGAAGGGGAGAGCUUUCCAGGGACCGUGAGAAAGAAGCAGGGGAGGAAUCGCUCAGGUUUGAUCAUACCUUACCUUGUGUUCUUCACCUUUCUUUUAUCUCAUUUUAUUUUGAUGGUCACACUAAUGCUUCUAGUUGAUGUUUGGAUGCUUGCUCUGAUCAUUUAAUGUGUUAAAUCUGCUUCUUGUUUUCGUUUGCUGGGUCUCUGUCUUCCCUUGUAUGAGCUGUGUGAUUAUUAUGCUGUUUGUCUAUGUGAUAAGACCAUUCGGACCCUCUCACCAGCUUCUUUUGAAAGCUCCUUAAUUUUCAUCAAAAUGGGGCUUGGAUUUAACGGCAUCAUCUUCUCUUCUAUAUACUCUGUUUUUUUUUUUUUAUCACUAUCAUCCCUGUUUCUGGCAUUUUGGAGUGUUGAACAUCAUGUCGAAUCUGGCGAAAUCAGACCGUCUUCGCUUCACACCGUUUAUGAUCUCAGCCAUGAGGAGUGUUGCUAACAUUCAGGUAUGAAAGAGAGUGAUGUAAGGAGUGGCCAUGGGCGACGUUAUGAAGCCAAGAAAUAAUCCUGAGCUAGCCAAUUUUAAAACAGUCCUAACUCUGGGACGGUUGGGUAUGUAUAUGGUAUGGCGUUCUUCAUUAUUGAUCUACUAGCCUAGGCAAUUUAGAUUAUGGCCAAGUGUUCUGAUAGAGAUGGAGAAGCUAUAAGGCUGCCAGAGGACCAAUUCCAAAAGAUGGAAAAUCAUGCUCUGAACGAAGAGCCGCUGUAUGCUUUUAGAUUGAGUUGUGGAGCUGCAGAUACAUAAACAGAGGGCUGCGGAGGAAUUAUCAUCAUGUAAGAAGCUUCCCGACUUGCCUCAGAAUCAAUCAUCAAGCAAAGCCCUGCCAAAUUUAGAGAGAGUGGAAUCACUUGUACAGGUGAACCUUUCCAACAAUCAUUUGCAUGGCAGUUUACCUUCCACCAGAGCAUUCUUCGCCAUCAAUUCGAGCUUAGUCUCAGGAAACAAUCCUUGUGGUGGGGACACUGCAAGUGAGCCACCACCAUGCAAGAGGUUAAAAAUCCCAGUUGGAGGGUUCUUCGUCACUUGUCUCCUAGUUGUUUCGGUGGUGCUCACUCUUGCUGUUUUUGCCGCUGUGUUCAUCCUACACCGAGAUGGGUCAGAGCUCAAGAGGGUAGAACAUGAAGAUGGGAUGUGGGAAAUGCAGUCCUUUGAUUCCAAAGUCUCAAAAUCGAUCACAAUCCAAAGCAUACUGCCGUUUAUAAUAGAAAAUAAUGUGAUUUCAUACAAGGAAAAGAUUAAAAUGGUGAGACGGCCUCCCUUACAGCUUUGAUGAAUCGACUUGUUAUUCAUCUAAAAAAGGCUCAUGGAUCAGAAUCCUAUGAGACCAUCUAUAGUGUAUCUUCUGAAAUUGUCAUAAGAGGUCCAGGCCCACUUUUGCAUGGUGCGCCUCCCAAAUACCCCACUUACCCAUCUUUUUGUUCCCGCCACCUUUCCUUUCUCUAUCACCACAUGCAUCUCUCAAGCCCACCAUGCCCAUAUUUCACACCCACUGAACCCAUGUUUCUCUCAUCACCCCUCAUCCGAUCCCACACGAGCUCACCACCUUCAUGUGUUCAUUCCUCACUCAUACAUGUAUGGAACCAUGCAUCCAUGGCUGCCCAUCAUUCCCACUCCCGUCUCGUGCCAACUGCCCAAGCCAUUCCACUUCAUCACCUUUCCACCCCCCAUGCUUGCCACAUUCAUUUCUUCCAACACCCUUUAAACUCACUCCAUCCGCCACCCAUUUAACCCCAUUGCAAACAUGGCCACCUCAUACCCAUUUCUCUUACUCAUAAUUCCAUUCAACACUUCCCAACUCACCCCGUUUCCCCGCCAUCUCUCAAUAUUCCUUAACCCAUUUAUCUCAUUAUCCCCUCCACCAUGUAACCCACUGUCUUCAUGCCCCGCUAAUCCCAUACCCGUCACCACUUUCUCUCUCUCUCUAAAUCUUCAUCCAUACCCAUUUCUCUCACUCACUACCUUUCCGUUCUUUCCAAACCCACAAAACCAUCUCAUCCCGCCACCUUCCAUCCUCCGUUCCGCCAAUAACCACCCGAAGACUAAGAAGAUUCUACAGUUCCAGCGCUCGAGACAAAUAAUUACUGGCGUCUUUUCCGAAAGAGAACAAGACAAUAAUGAGUAUGCUGCACGGGUUGAUCCCUAUGUGACAUGCGGGUAUCCUAUUUUAAGGGGUGUCUAGGAAUUGAUUUGCAAGCCAGGAUACAUAUCCGCCACAGCGAAGUGCCUGGCUUACGUCAUUUGCAUCACAAGACAAUCAUGAGAUGCGAGUAUCGUUUGCAUUGGAGUGAAGUGUACUCUCCAUAAUUGGUGCUCUUGGAAGUAUACCUACGAGAUGAAGCAGAUAUAUUAUCUGUUUUAUUUGUGUUAAAGUAUAUUAUAUUAUGGGCUAUAGGCCCAAUUAGGUUAUUUGUAUAGUACUUGUACUAUACACUUGUAUCGCACAGUAUUUGUACUGCACACUUGUACCGCACCCUUGUACUGCACCCUUGUACUAUACACAUAUGCCUCCUAUAUAAAGACACUGAUGUAUAUUCUUUUAAUCACAUAAUAGAAUACAAUUAUUCUAUAUUUCUAACAUGGUAUCAGAGCCACUGUUCUGAACUUUUUUUUUUUUCUUAGCAGUCUUGUUUUCAUUAGUGUGACUUCCUUCUUUCACUAAGUCAUCCCGUCGUCGUCCUUGGGUUCCGGACCUGCAGCUGCCAUCGUUAAGAAGUUUCACACUGCACAGACCACUGCCCUUUGCAUCACCGCUGCGAAUAUUGCUCCGAUUUCAUUUUUGAAGGUACCAUUGAGAUCGUCCAGCGCCGAUCUACACAGUACUUGUACUGCACACUUGUACCGCACCCUUGUACUACACCCUUGUACUACACACAUAUGCCUCCUAUAUAAAGGCAUUGAUGUAUAUUCUUUUAAUCAUAUAAUAGAAUAUAAUUAUUCUAUAUUUCUAACAAUUUGAUAAUGGAUAAAAUCAUGGUGACUUUGUGGUCUACUCCAUCGAGAAGUCCUCUCAAGAGAUAGGGUCGUCUUAUGAAGGCACGUCGGAUUUUGACGGUGUAAGAGUUGCUGCAUGGAUAGUGCUGUCCAUCUCAAUUCCACUUUCAGAAGCUCGGAAGGUUUGCGGCAUGCUAUCUAGAAUUCUUCAUCGCUCUUGUCGUGGGAUUGAUUGGCUUCAAAGAGAUUGAAUUCUUCCUCUUGAGUUAGACAGGUUGCUCAGGCAGGAGGCUAUCUUGUCUGCUCCCCUCUUGGAGCCUAUACACAGGAUGAGGACGACCUUAGAAUACAGAGGGAAAUGGUUGUCCUUGCGGAAUGCAUAUGUUGGAGAAUAGCUGUAAAAAAGGAAUCAAACCGUCAUUUGGCAGAAACCUCUGACCAAUGGUUGUCACAAGGAGCGAACGCCUGUUACUCGGCCUCCAGCAUGGAUGAUGCGCUAAGCUGGAAGGUACAUGGCUGUUUACAAAAAACUUGCAGAGAAAUACCCCCUCCUUCAGACAGAGAGGAGGUGAGAGGCCCUGUUAUCCAUUCUCCAAUUCGCUCCGAGGAAGGAGGUGGGGGGACAAGCUGCUGUUCCGGGUUUUGUGGGAGUACCUUGAACAAUGGGGACAUGUAUAGUGGAAGGCGGUACAACUCGGGCACAUACGAUCAUAAAAAGCGUGUGUCAUACAACACCAAAUGUAUUGAGGGCUUUUCUUUCUCAUUUGACGCUUGUAAUAUCUGAAUACAUUGUUUUCUAAGUUGAAUCUGGGGCCCACUGUAUUCAAAUAUUUGACUCUUGGGGUGGUCAACUACCGCCUGAUAUGGGGGAGUGCUGGUCAAAACCCUAUAUUGGAAGAGUUGAGGUAGAAGAAGAUGGUGAUAUCGGCAUCAGAGCUACGAAGGAGGGUUUAGGGCUCCAAGCAGCUGGAUCGGAUAGCUUCAGGGCUGACUUAUGCUGGAAUGGGAUGCAGGGGUCCACAAGGAAAGAGAUAUUUUAUACCAUCUGGACCCACAACAGUCAUUGGUAUUCCAUAUUCGACCACCAUUGCACAAGACCCCUUGCAUGGCCACCUUUUGAUAGGCCAUCAUCAAAACCCGUGGCUCCCCUCCUUUUAUUUUCAUGCAAACCUCCAGAACCUGAUUUUCGAGGAUCAUCGUUUUUUUUUACGUGAUUUUAAUUCUUCACUUUUUUUCUCUUUUUCUUGAUUCUAGGUACCAUUUUCAACUAGACUUGCCUAUUUUCGUUCAGUUUAUUUAUUUAUUCAUUUAUUGCUAUUAUUAUUAUUAUUAUUAUUUUCAUUUUUUGUUUUCAUCCUUGUUUUUAUUUUUAUUUCCUAUCCUUGACUUUAGAUAUUUUCCAUUCUUUAAUAAAUUUGGUAGCCACAUUCCUUCUCGACCAAUAUCUUUCAUAAAUCCUCUUUUAUUUUUAAUGAUUUUCUAAUUUUCACGUUUAAUAAGCCAAGAUUUAAUUUUGUGAUUCCAAUUAAUGGAAUUUACGAAAUUAAUUCAUUGCUAAAAUAAAUUAGGUUUUGAUGGGAGCCUCACAUGUGAUUUUAUAAUUGAUUGAUCGUUUGAUUGAUUUGAUUGUUAUGCAUGAUCGAUCUAUUAUGUUCUAAGACAUGCAUGAUAUUGUUCCUUAAUUGUGUACUAACCCUCUCUCUUAAUAGCGCAUGGUAACUCAUUGUCCAGUUACGUACCCACUUUCACUCUGAUCAGUGUCUACGCAUUUUCUGGUUCUCACAUGUGCAUGUUUUAUUCUAAGUAUUCAUUGAUUCACUCAUCCAUUAUCAUGAUUACUUCAUCUCAUUAGUAGAGACCCGGUUUUAAGGAUUUAGAGGGGUGUUACGGUCUUUACCGUACCUUCCCAAUAAGUAACCUGACCUCCGAGCCUGACCUGAUUUUUCACAGACUACCUUUUCCAAAAUAAAGAGUCACACUUAGGGUCUUCUUUUUUAUUUUGUUUACCCUUUUAAAAAUAAAACAAAAAUAAGUGGCGACUCCAAGUCAUUUUCCAAUAAACAAAGUCAUUUUUAAAAUAAGAAUUGAGUUCGCCAUCGAGUAAAAAACGUAUGAGCCGAAACAUGGGGUCCACACAAAUAUAUUUUCGUGUUUUUUUAUUUUAAAUAAUAAAAAGUUAUUCUAAAAAACCAUGCUAAGCAAAUUCUUAAAUUUCCGAAAAAACAAAAAACAUAUAAGGUUACCAAGAAAAUUUUUUAUGAGACUUCUAAGUUUUCAAUGAAGAACCAGAUUGAGACUUCAAUUAAAAAAUAGAAUCUUAAUUGACAAUUAUAACUUUAAUUUAAAAACGAAGUAUCAAUUGAUAAUUAUGACUUCAAUUCAAAAACCGAAGUCUUAAUUAAUAAAUAUACCUUUAGUUCAAAAAUAAAGUCUCAACUGUAAUUGUAAUGAGAUCUUAACUAUAUGUUUUAAAAAAUAUAUAUUUUUGAGAUGCUCGUAUGCGGCACUUAAGAGACCAACAUAAAUUUUAUAAAGUAGUUAGAUAUGGGACAUUUUGGCCCAAAACUCCAGCAAGUAGCACCUCUGUUUUGUGCUGGGUACUGGACCAGACGACAGUGGUCAAAGCUGACUGUGACCUGGGCCCACAGGCUAAUUUUAAGCUGCACUCGUGACCAGCGCUUCCAGCGUGCUGGGUCAGACGAGGCAGCGGUGGUGAAAGUGGGCUGUGAGCUGGGCCCACAAACCAAUUUUGUGAAAAUCCAGAAGGUGAAAAUCGGUGACGUGGCACCGACAUGUUCCAAACCGUCGACGUUUUCAUCACUGAAUUUUCCAGCACUUCAGCCAUAAUUUCCAAGUACAUGUACAAGUUUUUAGGUAAAUUAAUUGUCGAACAUAUGAGAGUAUAAGUUUUGGAGCAAAUGAGUUGUACAACAUGUCAGAGCCUCAGUGGAAGGGAAGAGGGUUUAUAUAUUCAAAUAUUACUUAUAUUUAUUUUCUUAAUUUAUUAAACUUAAAAAUAAGAUAUUAUUUAAAAUUUUCUAAUGAAUUUUUUAUUUAUUAUUUAAUUACUUAAAUUAAUUUUUAUUUAUUUUUUUAAAUUAUAGAAUUAAAACUUUUUAUUUAAAUAUUGUUUAAUAAAUUUAAAAUUUAUUUUAAAUUAUCAAAUUUAUGGUUAAACAUAAAUAUUUAAAGUAUUAUAAAUACAUAAAAUAUAAUAGAUUUAUUAGAAAAAAAAUAAAUUAUUGAUGUGAAAUCAUGAUUAUAAAAUAUGCUAUUAUGUAGCAAAUAAGAUAAAAAAAAGAUUUGAAAUUAAGGAAAAAAAACUAUUUUGCCUUAAUAUUUGAAGUUAAAAAAAAAAAAAAACUGUAAUAUUGUUAUUUAAUUACUGAUAUGUGUUUGAAUGCCUAUCUCCUUAAUUUAUUAAGCUUAAAAGAAGUUAUUUGUUUUCUCUGUAAUCUCAAAAGAGACUACAAAAGAGUAUUAAAGUACUUGAUAUAAAUGAUAACUCAAGUCCUAUGAGCUUAAGUAUUCAGAUUAUAUUAAGGUGGUGUUUAUUUUUUUACUUAAUUCUAAAUAGAAAUUUAAUGCUUAAUAGUGUUAAAUAUUAGAUUGUUUAUUUUUAUAGUAUUUUAUUUCUAUUAAGUAUUAAAAAAUAAAAAAAAAUUAAUAUAUUAUUUUUUCUAUUUAAAAAAAAUUAAAUAUUUUGAUUUUUUCUAUUCAAUAAAAAAUUUAUAAUAAGUUAUAAAAAAAUAGAAAAAUAAAUAACCUAAAUUGUGAAAACAAUUUCCUUUCAAUAAUAAACAAAAGGGUAUUAGAGUACGCUAGCUAUCUAGAUAAUAAACUCAAGUCCUACGAGCUUAAAUAUUUAGGUUAUGCCUCAUCGUUGAAUUUUAUCUCAGAAUUUCCCAUGAUUCUUGCAAUAUAACCUGAAUAGUGCAGGUGUGAAGACAUGUAUGGCCCGGUAACUUUUGCUAUUUGUAGUCCUUAAUUAUAUAAUCAGAAUAAAAAUGCGUUAAAUUAAUCAAAUAUUAACUAGGGAGUAUGACAUUACACAAAAGUACGUGGGGAGGGAAGUAACUUGAUAUAAAACUGAUGAAAUCUCAGAUGCUCAUUUAUAUCAUGGCUUCUCCAAUGAGGCCCAUUUCAAAAGGAAAAUCAAAAUUCCCACCUCCAUUGGUAUCUACAGCUGAUGCAGUUUCGUCAGCCAGGAGGCUGGCAAUAAGCUCCUGAUCUUCAAUGGUAUGGUCAGCGAAUAGGCUUUCCCACCAUAAAAUAUCCUGGUUUGGUUGGACCAGUGUGGGUUGCAGCUCACUACAAGUACUGCCUUGUGUCUCAGAAGCAUCCACAGCUGUAGUUUUGAAUGUGAACCCUAGAAAGAGUUUGCAAGGCUUAGGCUUUAUCAGAGUGUUUUCAGAAUUGGUUUGGGCUUUAUCUUUCCCUUUUUCCUGGAUGGGAACCAUCUUCUUGAAGCGAUGAUGGUGCCAGUAAUUCUUGACAUCAUUCGCAGUCCUCCCUGGAAGUCUGCCGGCAAUCAAGGACCAUCUGGAAAAACAUAGCUACAAUUUUUUUAAAAGUGUUGAAUUAAAAUGAUCUUAUUUGAGUUUCUAAUUCAUGGAGGCGUUGUUUCUUUAACCAUCAGCUCCAGAAUUUGGUUUGGGUUAAGGAUCAGACAAGGAAAAAAAUUAAGGGAAGGUAGGUACAAUUCUUUUUUCUUUGCAAGUGAAAAAGCUUAAUUGAUUAAGCUUCUUUUCUUAUUUUACUUCAAUUUUUUUCUUUCAUUUUCCUCGUAUUUUCUCAGGAUUCAAUCCAAACUUGUAUCUCUAUUACCAAUCUAACAGUGGCUAUACUAAAUGUAAUAGGAAAUUAAUAAAUAAACUUGCCUGUUUCCCAACAGCUUAUGAAGUCUAAUCAUGAGAUCGACUUCAUCUGAUGCAAAUUUUCCUCUCUUAAUAUUUGGCUUUAAAUAGUUGAACCAUCUCAAUCUACAGCUUUUGCGGCAUCUACUCAAACCUGAAAAGGCAACUCUUCCAGUUAGGAAUAUUUAUUUAAGCAGGAAAAAAGUUUGCAGGCUUCCUCUCAUACGUAUAUAUUACCUGCUCGGAGUGGAACCAAAUGCCAUUUUUCUUCUCCAUAUUUCUCAACACAUUUUCUUAAAAGAAAAUCUUCUUCCCGAGUCCAUUUUCCCUUUCUAACUCCCAAACUCUCCAUAGCUUUUCCUCAACUCUACGUAGAACAUAUGCAACUUGUCCGAUUAAUUUAAACACUUGGUAUGUACUUCUUAUGAUUUGCGUGCUUUCAUUCCAACCACAGAACUCCAAGUAGUACUGAUUCUUAAUUAAGUGACAUGAGCUGGUUGGUAGCCUUAGUAACAACAGUGUAACAGCCACUUCAGUUUAAACGUGCAGUCAUUCUUAAGCCACAUAAGCCUUAGUAACAAUUCAAGCGUGUAAUUAUAUAUAUAUACACACAACUUGGGAUGUACUUCAUAUGACUUACGAUGCUUGUAUUCCAACCACAGGUCCCUAAGUACGGAUUCUUAAGUGACCCAAUGUUUUUUUUUUAUUCAUUUGAUGUGGAAUACAAAAGAAUUAAUUGAUUAAAAGAAAUUAAAUAAUCAUUAUAUUUAUAAAUUUAAUCAUUCCUUGAUUUUACUUGAAAAAUAAUAUAUUAUUGACAUAAAUGUCACUUAUCAUUUCAAGUAUUUAUAUAUAGUUUUAAAUGAAAUAAUUGUUUUUACAAGAAAAAAAAAAGAUACUUUUAUAAAAUGAAAAAAAAUUAAGGUUAAAUUUAUAAAUUUGAGUUUUUAAUGACCCUUCUAAUCAAAUACUCUAAUACAAAGUCAUCUGUUAUCAUUUCCUCUCUACAACUUCAGGUUUGUGCAUCCUGACUUUGUAGUCUCGAAUAUAGGCAUUAGAUAUCUUAUUUCUAGUCUUAGAUUUAGGUAUAAGGUUGGAAUUAUGAUAAGUGUUAAGUUUCUGGGAUUUGUUAAGGAGAUUUGCACAAUAUUUGUAGAGUUAUUAUUAUUAUUAUUAUUAUUAUUAUCUUGGUUUUUGUUUGCUUGAAUUAUUUGAUUGAUUGGUCAUACCUAGCUUUCUAGCAAGUUUGUUUCUAGUACGGUCGUUUUACCACUCUAGAGACAUGCGGGCAAGACAUAAAAGUUCUAGAUAUUCUUCGAAAUCUGUAUUGCAAUAUCAGGUUGAACAUUAAACAAAGAGAUAGUCACUGCAAUAGUAAGUGUGUGCUGACCAACGUUUUAAAAAUCCAAUCGGACCAGCUGGUCCGAUCGGUCUGACCGUUGAUCGGUCAUCAGUCCAGUUCGAUUCACCCCUUUGAACCGGCCAACCUCUGAACUGUCAUCGAACCGACGGACAGAUUGGUCCGACCAAUUUUUAUUGAACCGAACAAUUCAAAUGAAUUUUUUCCUUGGCUUCCAAAAUGAUGUCUUCCCUUUCUUCUUCGUUCUUCCAGAACGUUCUCCCCCGCCCACAGUUGACCGUGACUCAGUUGACCGUGACUCAAAAUACAUUCCAACAACUGAUGAAGAUGAGGAAGUAGAGUAUGAAUGCAAGAACAACAUUUGAACUUAACCCCAAAGAUUGAAAUUGUCUAAAUCAGAUCAAAUGAUUUACUUGUGUUGGGUGUAUCCCAAAAGCCCACAUCAAAUGGAAAAUCACCCUCACCUCCCUGGACUUGUUCCACCAUGCCAUCCAUGGUUCCCUUUGUCUCUGUUGCAGUUUGUUCGGCCCAGAGGCUUGAGAUACGCUCCCCUCCAGAGCUACAAAUCGAAAAGUCAGUUUCUUGAUCCAUUUGGGCAUGCCCAGAUAACAGGCUUUCCCACCAUGCAAUAUCAUCAUUUGGCUGUGGUAACUUGGAUGAUGGCUUACUAGAUGUACUUGUUAUUUCCACAUUAAAAUUAAGUGGGUGGCCCACUAACCUAGUAUUUAGCCGAUUAAAAGAAUACCUAAAAUAUUUAAACUGUUAUAAAGAUAUUUACCCUUUGAUGGAGUGGGUAAAUUAUUAUAAUAAUAAUAUUAUUAUUUGGAAUAAAAAACAGUUAUUCGAUCGAAUAACACGUUCAUAAUGGUUUUUGAACGUGUAUUCUUGACCCUCUUCUCUUAUCAAUAAGAUAUAUAUACAGAAACCCCUUCAUGUGCGGUGAGUGCUCUCUUCCAUCAAUUACAGAAAACAAUUCUGUGUAUUAAAGUUUGAUAAGGAGAAGAAGAGAUCAAGGAUUUAAGAUCUAUAAACUGAAGGGAAAUCUCUCAUAGCUGCGUGUUCUUCAAACGGUAUGUAAUCUAUUUUAAUUAAUGUUUUUAUUAUUUUAUUUUUCAGAGAUGAGUUUGAAUUCAAUGAUCUGGAAUAUUGUGUGUUAAUUUCUGUGUUAAAUGUCAACAAUUGGUAUCAGAGCAAGGUUGAAUUCAAAUAUUCAGAAUCAUUGUUUUAUAAAGAUUAAAUUUUGAGAUUUAUCAUCGAUUAAUUCGUCUCACUAAAAUGAAUAAAAAAAAUAAUAAUUAAACAAAAUAAAGACCAGCCUCAAUGCGUAGAAGGAAGAUUUUUAUUUUUCCUUGCAACGCCGAUUGGAGCAAUGCCGGUGAGGGGCGCUGGUUUGGCCGACUGGUUUGGCGUUAGUCCGGUGGCCGGUUUCAGGCGCCAGUCAAGGCGCCAUUGCCUGCGCCAUUGAAGGUGCCAUCUCACUGUUUUCAGGCGCCAAUCCAGGCGCCAUUGAAGGCGCCAUCUCGACGUUUUCACGCGCCAGUCUAGAUGCCAUUGCCGGCGCCAUUGAAGGUGUCGUUUCUCCAGCUUUCCGACGGCAGUGAAGGCGCCGUUUUCAGGCGCCAUCUCCAGGCAUCAGGCGCCGUUUCUCAGGCGCCAUUAGAGGCGCUGGUUGCAGGCGCCGUUUCUCAGGCACCAUUAGAGGCGCUAUUUGCAGGUGUCGUUUCCUUCUUCAAGGGCCAUUGGAGGCGCCGUUUGCAGCGCCGUUUCAGGCGCUCUUCAGGCGCCACUUUUCAGGCUCUCCAAAAGUGCCAUUUCAGGCGCUAAUCCAAAGAUCUUAAUUGAUUUAUUAUUUGAUUUGAGUCUGAACCUUUGUGAAAUUAUUAUUAUGUCUGAGGAAUGCAAGUAUUAGCUUUAGUAUAUUCAAUGAAUGCAGAUUUCUUUGAUUUUAUUAUGAUUGAUUAUUGAAUCAGAUGGUUAUUAAACAUACUAUUUCCUUGAUUUUUUAACUCAAAUAAAAGAAUUAAUUUCAUCUUGUGAAUAUUUUAUCUAAAGACAAUUUAUAAAUGUAAGGUUAACUAGUUUAGAUUAUUGCCAAAGCAACCUAAAUUAGUGAGCCUUGUAUUUAUUGAAUUGCAUAAAAGAAUAAAGGGAGACUUGUAAAAUUCUUAAUAAUUCUCUUUAUAAUUAGGAGAAUGAGACUAACCCAAAGGAGAGUCAAUUUCUGCUAAUUAUUAAUUAAUGUUUUAUUUUGUGUUGCUUAGAAAGGUAAAAUGGAUACCCAAAGGUAACAUAUAAAUGACACAAAAUAGUAAAGUAUUUUAAGCUCCCUCCAAGUGAACACUGGAUAUGUUAAAAUUUACCCAAAGGAGAAUUUUAAUGAUAUCAAUAGUUCAUUGCUAUUUAUUUUAUACUUGAGGCCUUAUUGUGAGCAUUGUUCUAUUUUGUACAGUUCCCACUUCAUUACACUCUCUUGCAUCUGGAAUGGCUGUUUUUGAUGGGUCGAACUUUUCUGAAUGGUAUGAAACAAUUCUCACUGGGCGUAUUGGAUCUUGACCUGGCUUUAAUAACGGAUAAACCUCCUGAAGCUACGGAUGACAGUACUCCGGAGCAGGUGGAACAAUUAAAAGCCUGGGCAAGAUCCAACAUACUCAGUUUUAUGUUUAUGAGAAUGAUUAUUGCCAAUAAUAUCAAGACCUCUCUCCCUCAAACCGAGUUUGCCUCGGAAUUUCUGAAAUCUGUUGAAGAGUGCUUCAAACGCGCUGAUAAGUCCCUUGCAGGCACAUUGAUGGCUGAAUUGACUACCAUGAAAUAUGAUGGUCAGAAAGGUAUUCAGCAACAUAUUUUAAACAUGACUGAAAAAGUUGCAAAGCUUAAGGCGCUAGGCAUGGGUAUGGAUGAGUCCUUCUUGGUACAGUUUGUCCUUAACUCACUUCCAUCACAGUUUGCUCCAUUCAAAAUCCACUAUAAUACUAACAGUGAUCAGUGGAACUUGAAUGAGCUCACCAGUAAAUGCAUACAAAAGGAAGUGAGAUUAAGACAAGAAGGACAUAAUCUUGCCCUUGCUGUAACUCAUGGAGUCAUGAAGAAGAAAGGAAAAUUCAGAAAAGGAAAGAAGUUUCCACCUAAGAAAAGCGGACCUGGGGAAGGUAGCCAGAGUCAUGAUGGAAAAUUCACGGUAAGUUGCUACUUUUGUGGCAAGAAAGGGCAUGUGAAGAAGGACUGUAACAAGCGUAAGGCUUGGUUCGAAAAGAGAUGUAUAAAUCUUUCUUUUGUAUGUUAUGAAUCCAAUCUUGCUGAAGUUCCUUCAAAUACUUGGUGGAUUGAUUCUGGAGCCACAACUCAUGUGACUAAUUUAAUGCAGGGAUUCUUUACAACUAGGAAACUAAAGGAAAGUGAAAAGUUCCUCGAUAUGGGAAACCGUCUCAAGGUUGAAGUGGUAGCUGUUGGUACCUAUCGCUUACUAUUAGAGACGAGUCAUCGGAUGGAUCUUUUAAACACUUUUUAUGUACCUUCUAUCUUUAGGAAUUUAGUUUCCUUGUCCAAAUUAGAUGCUACUGGAUAUUCUGUUUUAUUCAGUUUUGGACAAUUAAGUUUGUUGUUAAAUUCUGUUACAGUUGGUUCUAGUAUUUUAUGUGAUGGUUUAUAUAAAAUUUCCUUGAAUCAUGAAUUUGCACAAGCCUUGAUAACCCUGCAUUCAAAUGUUGGUUCAAAACGUGGCUUAAUUAAUGAAAAUUCUUCAAUCUUGUGGCACAGAAGACUAGGGCACAUCUCUAGGGAAAGAAUUGAGAGAUUAGUGAAGGAAGGAAUUUUACAAAAUCUUGACUUAACUGAUUUUCAUGUAUGUGUGGAUUGCAUAAAGGGAAAGCAAACUAAACAUACAAAGAAAUGUGCCACAAGAAGUAAUGAGCUUCUUGAGAUAAUUCAUAUAGAUAUUUGUGGACCACUCUCUGUUCCAUGUUUUACAGGAGAGAAAUAUUUUAUCACCUUUAUAGAUGAUCUAUCUCGUUAUGGUUAUGUUUAUCUAAUGCAUGAAAAGUCUCAGGCCAUUGACAUCUUCGAGAUGUUCAUAACAGAGGUCAAGAGACAAUUAGAUAAAAAGAUUAAAAUUGUGAGAUCAGAUCGAGGUGGUGAACAUUAUGGCAGAUAUGAUGAAUCAAGACAAAAUCCUGGUCCUUUUGCCAAAUUCCUUGAAAAGCGUGGCAUUUGUGCUCAGUACACAAUGCCUAGUACGCCACAGCAGAAUGGUGUUGCUGAAAGGCGUAAUCGCACAUUAAUGGAAAUGGUUAGGAGUAUGAUGAGUUACUCUUCUGUACCUAUUUCAUUGUGGGGUGAAGCCUUAAAAACCGCAAUGUAUAUCUUGAACAGAGUUCCUAGUAAAGCAGUUCCAAAAACUCCUUUCGAGUUAUGGACUGGUAGGAAACCUAGCUUGAGACAUAUACAUAUAUGGGGUUGUCCAGCGGAGACAAGAAUCUAUAACCCACAUGAGAAAAAUCUUGAUGCAAGAACGAUAUCUGGAUAUUUCAUUGGCUAUUCGGAUAAAUCGAAAGGGUACAAAUUUUACUGUCCUAACCACAAUGUGAGAAUAGUUGAAACCGGUAAUGCCAGAUUCUUAGAGAAUGGUGAAAUCAGUGGGAGUAAUGAACCAAGAAAGGUAGAUAUUGAGGAGAUAAGAGUGGAUAUCCCACCACCUUUUUUAACUCAAGAAAUUAUUGUCCCUCAACCUGUUCAACAAGUUGAGGAAAAUGAGCAACAUAAUAGAGAUGGUUCAUUACUACCAGAAAAUAUUGCCAUUGAAAAUGUUGUAGAGCCACCACAACCGGCACCUUAGAGGAGAUCUCAAAGAGAAAGGAGACCUGCCAUUACAGAUGAUUAUGUGGUGUAUCUACAGGAAUCUAAUUUUGAUAUUGGGAUAAGGAAGGAUCCGGUUUCGUUUUCACAAGCCAUGGAAAGUGAUGAUUCUAGUAAAUGGAUGGAAGCUAUGAAUGAAGAGUUGAAAUCUAUGGCCCAUAACGGUGUCUGGGAUCUCAUCGAAUUGCCUAAUAGUUGUAAAUCCGUCGGCUGUAAAUGGGUCUUUAAGACAAAGCGCGACGUUAAAGGCAAUAUCGAACGAUUUAAGGCCAGAUUUGUGGCCAAAGGUUUCACUCAAAAGGAAGGUAUCGAUUACAGAGAUACCUUCUCUCCAGUUUCCAAGAAAGAUUCACUUAGAAUCAUCAUGACACUUGUAGCUCAUUUUGAUUUAGAGUUACAUCAAAUGGAUGUGAAAAGUGCAUUCUUAAAUGGGAAUUUAGAUGAAGAUAUCUACAUGGAACAACCUGAAGGGUUUGCAAAGAAAGGAAAUGAACACCUAGUUUGCAAAUUAAAGAAAUCCAUUUACGGUCUUAAACAAGCUUCCAGACAAUGGUAUAUUAAGUUCAAUAAUACCAUUACAUCUUUCGGAUUUAAAGAGAACAUUGUUGAUCAGUGUAUAUAUCUGAAAGUUAGUGGGAGCAAGUUUAUAUUUCUGAUACUGUAUGUGGAUGAUAUUUUGCUUGCUAGUAGUGAUCUUGGUUUAUUACGUGAAACCAAGGAAUAUCUCUCUAAAAACUUUCAUAUGGUUGAUAUGGGUGAGGCAAACUAUGUUAUUGGCAUCGAGAUCUUUAGGGAUCGAUCUCGAGGAGUACUAGGUUUAUCUCAGAAAGGAUAUUUUGAUCGAGUUUUAGAAAGAUUUAAUAUGCUGUCAUGUUCAUCGGGUAUUGCACCUAUAUUGAAAGGUGACAAAUUAAGUAAAAUGUAGUGCCCAAAGAAUAACAUGGAAAGGGAGCAAAUGAAGAAAAUUCCUUAUGCAUCAGCUAUGGGAAGUUUGAUGUACGCUCAAACAUGUACAAGACUGGAUAUCAGCUUUGUUGUAGGCAUGUUAGGAAGAUACCAAAGUGAUCCAGGAUUCGAACACUGGAAAGCUGCAAAAAAGGCGAUGAGGUACUUACAAGGGACAAAGGAUUAUAUGCUCACAUAUAAAAGAUCAGAACAAUUAGAGGUUGUCGGUUACUCGGAUUCUGAUUAUGGUGGUUGUCUCGAUAGCUUAAAGUCAACUUCAAGAUUUGUCUUUAUGCUAGCAAAUGGGGCAAUCUCAUGGAAGAGUGAAAAACAAUCAAUUACUGCUUCAUCCACGAUGGAGGCCGAGUUUGUUGCUUGUUUUGAAGCUUCAAGUCAUGCUUUAUGGUUGCGGAAUUUUAUCUCAGGGCUUGGUGUUGUCAACUCUAUUGCUAAACCUUUAAGAAUAUAUUGUGAUAACACCGCAACUGUUUUCUUCUCUAAGAAUGACAAAUUUUCUAGUGGAUCGAAACACAUGGAUUUAAAGUAUUUAGUUGUUAAAAAAAGAGUCCAGAAACAACAAGUGUCAAUUGAAAAUAUUAGGACCACACUUAUGGUUGCUGAUCCAUUAACUAAAGGAUUACCUCCAAAGGCAUAUUUGGAACAUGUUAUGAGGAUGGGCCUUUUGACUAAUCCAUAAUAUGUAUGAUAAUGAAUGGUGGUUAUGUAAUUGACAAUUUGCGCAUUAAAAUUGUUUAUGUUUAUUCUUAUUUUCAAUUAUGGGUGCACGUUUUAUUGUUUGAUAAACAAGAAUUGUCUUGACAAGACAAAUUACAAGGGCUAUUUGGCAUUAAGGACUGAGUUAGUAAGGGUUAUUGAUGUGUGGUGCAUGGAAGGAAACAUGACAUUAUGGUUAUGUGACCGCCAUGACUCGCAUUUAUGAUCUAAACUGAUUCAGUAUUAUGGUAUAUGAUUUUGGACGUAUUGGCGAAGUUUAUUGAAAUCGUGAUCACAUGUCAAAUUUAUUUUCCAGUAUAUAUUUUAUGUAUAAAAACUAAAUAUAUUAUAGUUUUCAUAAUCGGUUUAGUGGGCCAAGUGGGAGAAUGUUAUUUCCACAUUAAAAUUAAGUGGGUGGCCCACUAACCUAGUAUUUAGCCAAUUAAAAGAAUACCUAAAAUAUUUAAACUGUUAUAAAGAUAUUUACCCUUUGAUGGAGUGGGUAAAUUAUAAUAAUAAUAAUAUUAUUAUUUGGAAUAAAAAACAGUUAUUCGAAUAACACGUUCAUAAUGGUUUUUGAACGUGUAUUUUUGACCCUCUUCUCCUAUCAAUAAGAUAUAUAUACAGAAACCCCUUCAUGUGCUGUGAGUGCUCUCUUCCAUCAAUUACAGAAAACAAUUCUGUGUAUUAAAGUUUGAUAAGGAGAAGAAGAGAUCAAGGAUUUAAGAUCUAUAAACUGAAGGGAAAUCUCUCAUAGCUGCGUGUUCUUCAAACGGUAUGUAAUCUAUUUUAAUUAAUGUUUUUAUUAUUUUAUUUUUCAGAGAUGAGUUUGAAUUCAAUGAUCUGGAAUAUUGUGUGUUAAUUUCCGUGUUAAAUGUCAACAGUACUAACUUGCAUGUCAAAAGCAUCCGUAGCUGUAGUUUUUAGUUCAAACCUUGGCGAUAAUUUGGAUAACUUGUAGGGCCGAGGCUUUAGAACUUUGGUUUUAGAAUGUGUUUGGGGUUUAUCUCUCCCUUCGUCCGGGAAGUGAACCAUCUUUUUAAAGCGGUGAGUAUGCCAGUAAUUCUUGACAUCAUUAGCAGUCCUCCCUGGAAGUCUGCCCGCGAUCAAGGACCAUCUAUACAAGCACAGCAUGCAACAGAUCAACUAUCAAGUACAAGCACCACAUGGAGGCUUUUCUAAUUUGGAAUAUAGCUUCAGAAUUGAUAUAAUAAUAUCAUGUUACCAAUAUUAUGUUCCUUUGAUGAGUCAAAGCUGGUGCCCUUCUUCCUUUCCUAUUUUUUUCCUUGGAUAAGUCAACCCUUCCCAUUCCACUUUUCUUCAGGUGUUUGGUCUAAGACUCUAAAAUCAUUUUUAAAUUUUGAUUUUCUCUAUUGAAAAUAAUAUUCAUUUUUUCCUUAUUUUUUAAAAUCUACUUAAUUAAAAAAGCAAAAUUUAUUUUUUGAAAGUACAAUUCAUUUAUUCAUUAUUUUUUCAUUUUCUUUAUUAAAAUUUUAUUUUAACAUCAUGUGUAAUUAAAUUAACAUUAAAAUAAAUUAAUUUUUAAUAUAAAAAUACAUUCAUCUAUAAUAAUUAAUAAUAUAAAAAAUAAAAAAUACUAAUAUUUUAAACAAUAUUGAUUUCAAAUAUAUAAUAUUCAUAAUAUUUUUAUAUUUAUAAUAUUUAUAAUUUUCAUAUCAUGAAUCUCAUUUUUUAUAUUUUAUAUUUUUGAACUUUUUUCUAGAAUAUUAAACCUAAAUUUUUAAAAAUAAAAAUAAAAAUAAACACCAUCCACAUGCAUAUUCUGUAUAGGUGGUAACUCAUCUUUAACUAGCUAGUUGGAAAGUAAUUUUAGAAGCAUGCAUAAGUUAUUAUUCUAAUACAUGAUUUGGAUAUUAUUUUCCCCAAUAUAUACUAUCCAUAAAACUCACUUUUUUAACUUCUUAAUUCAUCCAUAUUUUUAAAAUAAAGGACCUUUACAUGAUUCCCCAAAGUUUUUUUAUUGCAAUGCCGCAUUGCUUGGCUUCCAAAUAUACUGAAGUUCAUGGACAAGGAGUAUUGUUCAUAGGAGAUGACAAUUGGCAAGUAGUACAAUUAUUAACUCUCUACGUAAAUUUACUGUUAAGAUACAGUCCAAAUGCAGCCUAGGAAUUGCUAAACAUGUGGUUCAAAUGCAUAUCUUGGAUAGGGUUCAGGCAUCCUGUUAUUAUGACAAAUACAGCCAUGAUCUUCUAACAAAGCUGAGAUUGUGAUCGCUUUUAGGCAUCCUGUUCAUCUUGUAUUUGGGAUUCCAUCAAUUAAUUUCUUAGGAGUUCAAUCAUGCACUAAUUCUUUGAUAAAUAGGAAGAACGAAAAAUACAAAAUAAUUUAAUAAAAUAAACAUUUUCUUUAUUUUUAUUAGAUUCCUGCAUUUGAACUCCUGAAGAAUUCUAUUUAAUAAAAGAAAGAUAUAAUUUGAAACUCCAGACAAGUUUUAAGCAACAAAUUCUCAAUCCAUUUCAAAGGACACUGACACGGACCUCAACCACUACCAUUUAUAGCUGCACGAGUUAUGUUUAAGUUGGGACUUCUAAUUUUAAAAUUAGUGGGAUUGAAACACGUAGAGGAGCAAAAAAAAAUAAAGAAAAAGGAGAAGAUUUUAGCAAGGUUUAAUAAUUAGUGUGAUUUUUACGUUUACAAAGCACAUCAACACUAAAGAAUUCGUUAAUUAAACAAAGAAAUCCCGAGCACUGUAUUGAAAAUUUUGACAAAAACAUUUAAAAGACAACCAACAAAAAUCAAGAAAGCAACAUUACAUCACAAAGGUAUCGAAAAUUUUGAUACAUGAAAUAUUAGCUAGCAUAGGUUGAGCACAACUAUAUAUUUAAUAGAAUGACUUAAAAGUGUUUUCAAAGUCAAAUAUUCUAAUUGGGCUCGCUGUGAUGGGAGCUCAUUUUUUUUUCUUUCUUCAAUAAGCUAUGUAUUGGAUCCCAUGGGUGGACCAUCAAGGAUACUCUCCCCGAGUGAUUUAUCGUUUGGUUAUUACAAUUCUCAACCAUUAUUUUAUAUUUUUCUUUUUUAAAUUAAUCCUUAUACCAUCAAUUUUCACCAUUGCUUUCAUUUUCAAAAUCUAGUUUCUAAACUUUUUGUAUUGCACCAUCUUCAAUCCUUAAAAUGAAUUCUUGUGAUUUGAUAUUUAGCUCACCAAGUUCAAAUAUUACUUGUAAUUGACAACCCUAUGCUCAAAGUGAAUACCAUGCAUUAUGGAUGUUCAACCAAAAUUUUUAUGUUAUUAUUGGGGGAGCUUUUCUUUUUUUUUUCGCAAAUAAUAUGGAUUCAAAUAUACCAUAUUAAUUGUGCCUAGCAAUUUGUUCAGAUUUAUCCUUGGAUCUAUCAACAAUUUUAAAUGUCCUAAAUAAAAGGGUUUUGUUUUAAGGGACAGGUAGAUAAAUUGAAAUGAUUCUAAAUGCAGUGCGGAAAUUAUAGUCAACGGCAACCACGCGGGUGUCCUUGUCAAUAAUGCAGCAAGCGUACGUGUCGUCACCCUGUGCGGGAUUGGUACCAUGUGGGUGUCCUUGUCAAUCAAAGCCCAUCCUGCUGCCUCCUGUGCACCAUCUUGUACCAAUCCCCGUCUUAUGCAUGGUUGCAAAUUGUUGAGACGAUGACAUAUGAGACUGAUCAUUUAUUUAUCAUCAUUUUUCAAUGAAGGUACUAUUAUUAGGCUAUUGCUCUGGCCCAUGAAGUAUUUUGCCUCUCGCAAUAUUCUUUUCUCCACAAAAUAGCUAGAGAACUACGAGAUAUAUGGUAUUGCUACUUGACAAAAACAUUUUAAGUUCUUUUUCUGCUAUCUAUUUAAUGCUGGGUUCGUAUUCUCAGCCACCCAUCCCCUGCUUCUUUUUGAGUGAGUGAGAGAGAUCGGUCAGCGUCAUUAGAUUGGAUGAGUAUGGGCUUACUAGGAUCAACAAAAUGUGUGGUACCUGUUGGUUCCUGCUCAAUAAUGACCCUUUAAGCAGCCGCCCCAGCGCCUCCAAUUUUUUAAGCAGAAAAUUGUGUUUUCAACCCUUAUAAUUUGAUAAUUAAGAUAAAAUUAGAAUGGAUGAAGAGUUUUUAUUUUAAGUACUCAAUUAAAAUAUUUUUAAAUAAUUUAAUUUUAGAAGUGGAUUAUAUCAAUACAUAGUAUAAAUUGAAUUUUUCUUAUAUAAAAGGAUUGAAAGGUAUAUUUACUUAUUUUAGAUGAAAACAAGUAGUUAAAAAUUAUAUAGAUUACAUUUGAGUUUGGUUUUAAAAUAUUUUUCUAGUCUUUAUUUUUUUAUUUUUAAAAAUAAUUUUUAUUUUUUAUAUUGCCUCUUUUUGAAAAUAGCAUUUAAUUAAAAAACUGAAAACUAUUUUUAAAAAUGAAAAUUGAAAACCUUGUUUAGCAUUAUUUUUUUAUAUGAAAAUAAAAAUAAAUAAAUUUAUUUAUUCAUUUAUGUGAAACCAAGGUUUGGUUGUGAAACCAAGGUUUGGUUAAUCUUGAUUUUGAUGAUAACAAAACAAGGUUUAGAACUAAUGAUCAUAUUUCAAGUGUGAUUAGGCAAGACGACUUCCAAAGUGGCAAUCCAAAAACAAAUCAAGCCAAGGAGAAAUCAUGAAGAAGAAGACCACCUCAAAGAGAAGAGUUUUUUCAAGACCAAAACUUCUUAAGAUCUCCUUGUAAAGUUGUUGGUGCACUAGGACUUUCAUGCAUUUCAUUCUUUAUUUAUGCACCAAAAUCAUCUAAGAGUAAUAUUGUUUUAAAUAUCUUAAGAAUCGGAUGAUUUCAUGUUUUCAACUAAAACCUUGUGUUAAAUGAUUUUCAAACUUGUGUUAAAAUGUUUUAAGUUGAAAAAGGUUGAGUGUUGAGCCAAAAAAAAUGGCUCAACCGGUUCAAACCGUCGACCGGUUGUGCUCGUCCGGUCAAGGACCGGUUGAGGGAGGCCAAAAAGUUUUUCUCUCUCCUAGUGGCUUUCUCUUCCCGGUCAAGGUUGAACCUCAACCGGUUGAAGUCCGAUUGAGGCCCAACGGUCACUUUUCCUAACGGCUAGUCAACCGGUCGAACCCCCAAUGGCUAGUUUGGCUUUUUUCUUCUAUAAAAAGGCUUCAAUCUUCAUUGUUUUACAAGCUUAACCUUCCUAAAUCAUUCUUGAUUAUAUUUGAGCCUUGGAAGAGUGUUUUUGAGUGCACCAUUGUUUCAUAACUUGCAUAUCUUUAGUGCACCAUUCAAUCCUAAUUUUUCUUGUAUCUUUGAGUUUAAAGUUCUAUUACUAGGAUUUUUGUGAGAUCAUUAUUUGUAUAUCUUUGUGAGGAAUUUUCUCAAGUGAGGGGUAUCACUUGAGAGGUUGUUCAAGAGAGGGACAUCUCUUGAAGAAGUGUAAAGGGUGCUUAGAGCCAAAAGUCCAAGAGGGUGAAUUGGAACCAUAAUCCAAUUGUAAAGAGAUUGGAAGCUUGGUUGAAGCUUCAAGAUAGUGGAACCCUCACUCGGUUAGGAGGUUGAGGAGAGUGGACGUAGGCAAGGAAGUGCCGAACCACUAUAAACUCUCGUGUUUGCACUCUCUCUUCCCUAACUCUUUUAAAUUAUAUGCAAUUAUCUUUAUUUUGUUUAUUAUAUACUUGCAUAUAAUUGUCUCUUAUUUUUGCAUAGUUUAAAUUUGUGAAAAAGAGACCAUCACCCCAUUUACCCCCCCCCCCCCUCUAGGGUGAUUACCAUAGUUUGGAUUAGCCUCAAAUUCCUAACAAUUUAUUGUGUUACUAUACAAUUGUAUUACACUAAUCGUACAAGGGAAAUGUACUAAGUGUACAAAAGUGGACAAGGAUACCAUUUGUGAAAUAUUAUAAUUGAUUAUGAGUCAUUCCUUUAUUUUUCUUAUCACUCAUGUAUUGUCCACGUAUGUCAUGCACUUUAUUUAAUUCCUACAUGGAAAUUCUAAUACUUUUCCCAAUAAUGAUAUUUGGGGAAAAAAAUUUUGACCUUAAGUCAUCCACCAUCUUCUCAACUAAACCAUUGAAAAUAUGAUUAAACACUCCUACAUAUACACAUAAUUUAAGAGGGAUAUGAAAUUUGUGUUAUUAUACAAGGGUAUUACACUAACUGUACAGGGGAAAUGUACUAAUUGUACAAAGGUGCACAAGAUUACCUUUUGUAAAUGAUUUUAAUCAAUUCUAAACCACUUUUUUAUUUUCUCUAUCACUCAAGGAUUGUACACAUAUGUUAUGCACUUUAUUUAACUCUCACAUGAAAAUUCAAAUAUUUUCCCCAAUAAUGAUAUCUGGGGAAAAAAAAUUGAUCCUAAGUUAUUCACUAUUUUUUCAAUCAAACCAUUGAAAAUAUGAUUAAUACAUCUAUAUGGACAUAUAACUUAUGGGGGAUAUGAAAUUUGUGUCAUUGUACAAGAGUAUUACACUAAUUAUAUAAGGGAAAUAUGCUAAGUGUACAAGUGUACAAGGCUCCUAAUAGGUUUUGUACGAUUUUUAAACAACUUGAGUUUGACAUUAAGAUGAUUAUUGAUAGUUUUGUUUUGUUUUUUUUACCAAACUAUGUCAUUAAGACAUUCCUUACAAAAAUUAACACAUAGGAAAUAAAAUUAAAAUAAAUCAUAUUUGAAUUGUUCAUUAUAAGUAAACUAAAUGAAAUAUAUUUUUUUACUAUUUUGCCUUUAUAAACAUAAUUUUAUUGUUAUCAAUAGAGUUUAAAAAAUCAUAUUUAAAUGGAAUUAAAAAUAAACAAAAAUUAUUUUUAUAACAUUUUUUAUUUUUUUAAAUCAUUAAUUUAAAUUAUGAAAUUAGUUUUAAAAUUAAAAAUAUUUGUUGUAAUUAUAGUUUUGAAGAUUUCAUGAUUUUUAUCUUAUUACUUUGAAAAAAUUGCUUUAAGAAGAAAGUAUUUAUUUUAAUGGUUUUAAAUAUUUAAAUCUUUAUUAAAAAAUAUUUAGGAUUAGUGUGGAGAGCAAUUAGGUAAUUUUGGAAUGGAGAAAUUUUGAAUACUUUGAAAACUUUAAUUCGGCCAAUUACCUUAUUUACACUUUUAAAAUUAUUGGAAGGUUGGUAAAUUAGUCUUAGAAAUAUUGUCUUCUUGAUUAAUAUUAUAUAUAUAUGCAUGUGAGUGUUUACAUUAUUUUCGAAAUAAUAUGAGAAAUAAUAAACAACAUGUGUCUAAUUUGCAAGUUAGAAAAAAAAAUUAAUAAUACUUUAUGAGGUAUUUAAAAAGUAUUUAUUAUAUGUUCUAUAAAUUUGAAAAAAAAAUAUUCAUAAUAUCUAAUUUACAAGUUAGAACAAACAAAUAAUACUAAUAUUUUAUGAGGUGUUUAAAAAUUAUUUAAUAUAUAUGAGAAAUAAUAUAAGUUUGAAAAAAUAAUAAUAUUUGAUGAGGUAUUUAAAAGUUAUUCACUUCAAAAAUGUAUUUGACAAUAAUAAUUUUUAACUAUCUUUCAUAUUCAAUUUGAUGAAGAAAAAUGAUUCAACUUAGUUCCACUAUUAAAUAGGUGAGAAAAUGGUAAAAGAGUUAAAGAGGGAAUGAGAAAGGUAAAGUGAUUGGUUAGUUUUUUCAUUUAAUAGUUAAGGGUAUUUUGGGGAUUUUUUUUAAAGACAAUAUCCUUCCUUUCGAUUUCUACUAUUUCAUUGGGUUUUAAGUUUAAUUAUGAGUGAUAUUAUGACCUUACCUCAAUUACCCAAUUUAGCUGGCUGAAAACACAAUUCUCCAUUUUUUAUGAUUCUGCAAAAAGAUAUGUUUGGAUUUGUUUGGGCAAAUCUCUCCCAUGGCCAAGGCAACUUACAGGAUUUUUGAGGAAUAGAUUUAUGAGGGACCUAUUCUUUAUAUCUGCAUUUCUUGUCACAUUGUGAUUAUAUACGCCGAGCUUUAUAAUUUCCUUCAGGUCAUUAUAACUCCUUUUUAUCUUCACAUUUAGGACAUGUUUGGUACUUGGGAUGAGAAGUGGGAAUGAUCCUGUCAUCUCUUCCCAUGUUUGGAUGAUUCAAAUAUUAAUAGGAAUGGAAUUAAGAACGAUUCCAAAUAUAAUGAAAUCGAGUUGUAAGUGGGAUAUCAAUUCGUUAUUAGGAUGAUGUAUUUUGAUUCUUUAGUACAAGUUAUUUUUAAAAAUAUUUUUCAAAAAUUAAAAAACCAAAAUCUUUUUUUGGAUAAAUUGUUUUUAAAAAUAAAAUUUUAUUUUAUAUUGUAAAAUACAAUUUGUAAAUUCAAUUUAUAUAAUAUAAAUUAAAUUUAAUUCAAGUCUUAUUAAAAAUAAAAAUAUAUUUAAAUUUAUAAAUAAAUUAAAAAUUAAAUACUUCUUUAAUAAAAUUUUAAUAUUAAUAUUAUAAUAAAACCAUAAAUCAUAUAUAUAUAUAUAUAUAUAUAAUUGAAUAUCAACAUCUUAUAAAAGCAUAAUUAAUUUAUUUUAUUAAAAAUAAAUAAUAAUAAUUCAAAAUUAAUAACUUUUAAUACUAUUUUAUUUUAAAUGAAUUUAAAAACAAAUAAAGUUUAAUUUUUUAAAAGUAUAAAUGAGCUAAAUUUUUCAUUACAUUAGUAUAUACAUUUAUUACUCAAUUAUCGACAUGGUACUCUAAAUUUUUUUAUUUAAUUUAUAAUUAAUUAAUCAUUUUUUUAUUUCAAAUCAUUCUUACAAAUUAAAAGAUUCAUUAAAGAAUUUAAGUCUAUUAUUUUUUAUACUCAUUAUAUAUAGUUUUUGAGUUUCAUAUUAGCUUUAAAAAUUAUUAAAUUUAUUAAUAAAUUUAAUACAAAGUUUUGCUUGGUUUGAAAUCCAUUUCUCUAAUAAAAAGAACUCAGCAAAACAAUUCAUUAUUUUAUGUUUUUUUUUUCAAAAAAUAGAAAAAAAAUUACUUUUAGAUAACAAUAGCCAAAUAAUUAUAUAAUUUUUUUUUAAAAUUAUUAUUUUUAAAUCAUACGUCUCAAAUAGGUUUUCUAUUAUUUAGCCAAAAAAAACUCUUAAAGGUGUCUUUUAAAUAAAAAUUAAAAAUUAAUUUUAAUUAUGUAUAAAGUGAGAGGUUUUAUAAUGAAAAUAAAAAAUAUUUUAAACUAAAUAUACAAAUAUUACUAUCAAUUUAUUUCUUUUUUCAUUUUCAUUCUCGUACGUAUUUGGUAUGCGAGAAUAAGGAGUGGGAAUGAAUAUCUCAGUCAUUUUUUCUUUUAUUUCUAUAUUUGGAUAACUUAUAAAUAAUGAUGAGGAUGGAAUCAAAAGCGAUUGCAAUGAGAAUUAAAUCUCACUUAUAAGUGAGUUUUCAAUUCAUUUGAUUAUGAGGUAUUUUGAUUCCUUAAUGUAAGUUAUUUUUAAAAAUACUUUUUAAAAGUAAAAAAAAAAAAACAAAGGACUUUUUUAGAUAAGUUAUUUUUAAAAACAUUUUUUAUUUUGAUUUUAUAAAAAACACAGAUUAUAAAUUCAAUUUAUACAAUAUAAACUAAAUUUAAUUCAUGUCUGGUUAAAAAAAAAAACAAAUUUUUUAGUUACAAAUAAAUUUAAAAUAAAUAAUUUUUAAUAAAAUAUGAGAUGUUCAUUCCCGCUCCUACCAGUACCAAACAUGUCCUGAAAGUAGGUCUCUUCCAAGGCCCUUGGUUAGGAAAUCGACCAAAUUUUCUUUGGACUUGGACAUAUUCUAAAGCCACUGUCCCAUUAGAGAUGAGUCUUUUUACAUAUUUCCCAUUAAAGAUCUCACUAUAUACUCUGAGCAUUGCGGCAUGAUUUUCAUACCACACAAUGAUGGUUGACUCUGCCUUAUUCCAUAUCGGUACUUCUUCUGAUAUAUUCCUUAGCCACUUAGCUUUCUCUCCAGUAAAUGAGAGGGCCAUGAACUCAUACGGAAUUGUGGAAUGAAACCUUUUCUUGUAACCGUGGGAAUAUAUGAGCAUGGAUUUUGUACUAAGGUUGCCUAGACCACAAUGUAGGGUUGACACAAUUUUUGUGGCGUUAGAUCACUUCUCCAAGAUAGCUCACUUUAUUCCUUAUGAGAAUACCAUUGAUGCCUCACAAGUUUCUCAAUUGUUUUUCAAAGACACAGUUCGACUUCUUGAAGUUCCUUGGACCAACAGGUGACACAAGAUUCAUGAAUCAAUUUUGGCACACUCAAUUUAUAAGGACUAAACUACAAUUUUCAAGCACUUGCCAUCCAUAAACUGAUGGACAAUCAGAGAUGGUGAAUCAAACUUUGGGAAAUUUGCUAAGGAGUCCUACUGGUGGCAACCAUGAAAAGAAUAUGUUUUUUUUUCCUCAAUCAGAAGUCCUCUCUCUUGGUUUUUGUUUUUCUUCCUAAAACGACAGUCAAUACUUUUAUGUUGUGAAAAAAAUGAUUCUUAUAUUUAUAGUUUCAUUCAUGACUUGAAAUAAGAAAAUUGAUCAGUAAAACAACCAAUCAGGAUUCUUGGACAUCUUAAAAGGUAAUUCUGAAAACCUUAUUUUACAUCCGAGAUGGUUUAUGGAAAGAGUCAAAUUCAUAAUUUUAAUCAUUCACAUGUUCUAAAUCUAUGGAAGUGUAGCACGGAGGCUGAAGAACUUGCUAGUUAUGUUCUAAAUCUGAAGAGGUGAUUGGGUGAGGGUUUACUUAAGAAGGGAGUGUUUUAUACUAGGCACUUAUCACAAGCUCCAAUGCAAGAAUUUGAGUUUUGUCAGUGAACUACUACAGCUCAAGAUGCAAUUACGGUCAUUAAGAAAAGAAUCUAUGACAAUGAGUGAUUACUUUGCUAAGAUGGACGAUAUUGCAGAUCAAUGUGCAAUGGCUGGUUGUUUUGUCAGUGAUGAAGAUUUGGUACUUUAUAUUUUAGCAAGUCUCGGAUCAGAAUAUGAUCCACUUGUAUGCAGCAUUACCACCUGUAAUAGUACUGAUCAUCUUUCUCUAAAGGGGAUUCAUGCUCUUCUACUCAAUCACGAAAGUAUAAUUGAGCAAUUGUAUGCAACUAAUUCAGAUUCACACCAUUUAUUUGCCAAUUUUGCUGCUCAUAAAAAUGGAGGAAAUCAUGGUCGUGGAAAAGGAAAUUUGAACCCUCAAGGUCGAGGUAGAGGAAGAAAUGGAGGUUUUUCUAGUAGAGGCAAUGGCAAUAAACCUAUUUACCAAAUUUUUGGUAAAAAAGGACACAUAACCCUCACUUGUUGGCAUAGAAUGGAUGAGAACUUUCAGUCUACAUCAUCCGUUACUAGCAGCAACAAUUAUAAGACAACAGUCUACAUGGCCACACUAGAUACAAUGAUUGAUUCAAUGCAGACUUACUUCCGGUAGCUUUUGCCAUAACUUCUAGCAUCCAAUUUGGGUUACCAAAACCACCUCAAACCCCACUCUCAGAUGUUCAUACCUCACCUACCUCACAACCAUCUAUGUCUUUAUCUGCUCAUGCUCCAACUCCAUGUCACCCCAUGAUUACCCGAGCCAAAGCUGGCAUUUUUAAACCAAAAGUGUAUGCUGCCCUCAAACAUCCCUUGAGUUUCUCACAUGGUCCUAUUGAACCUAUGUGUGUAAAGCAAGCUCUUGCUUAUCCAAAUUGGAAGAUAUCAAUGGAAGAAGAAUACAAGGCUUUAAUGAGGAAUCACAUAUGGGACUUGGUACCUUAUCAGCCCCAAUAUAAUGUAGUGGGCAAUAAAUGGGUGUUUAAGUUGAAGUUUCACCCAGAUGGCACUCUUAAUAAACAUAAAGCUAGGUUUGUUGCCAAGAAAUUCCAUCAAACCCCAGGUGUGGAUUUUUCAAUAACUUAUAGUCCUGUGAUUAAACCUGCCACAAUUAGAGUUGUACUAACUCUAACAAUUGCUCAAGGAUGGGAAAUUAGGCAACUGGACAUAAAUAAUGCUUUUCUCAAUAGAUAUCUGCAAGAAGAUGUGUUUAUGUCUCAACCUGAAGGUUUCAUUCAUCCUACCAAGCCUCAUCAUAUUUUCAAACCGAGGAAAGCUCUCUAUGGUUUGAAAUGGGCUCUAAGGGUCUAGUUUGAUAAACUUAAAGAUGCAUUAUUGCAGUGGGGUUUUCAAGAUUCAAAGUCUGAUGUAUCUUUGUUCCUAUAUAAGACCAAAGGAAUCAUACUCAUGCUAUUGGUAUAAGUAGAUGACAUCUUGAUUACCGGAAAUAAUAGCAUAGUAAUUUCGGACUUGGUUCAUGACCUCAAUAAGAGUUUUCUUCUAAAGGAUGUUGGUUCAUUACAUUACUUCCUAGGAAUUGAAGCCUUUCGAGAUGAAACAGGUCUCUAUUUAACUCAUUCAAAAUACAUUGCCGACCUGCUUCAAAAGACAAAUAUGGAUACAAUAAAGCCCUUACCAACACUAGCUAUUUUUGGAAAAGUGUACUCCAAAUCAAGUAGUGAUCUAGGGAUAAUCCAAUCAUGUAUAGAAGCAUAGUUGGAGCCUUGCAAUAUGUUACAAUCACAAGACCUGAUAUAUCAUACAUGGUUAGUAAGUUGAGUCAGUUCUUACAAAGUCCAACAGAGAUACUUUGGAGAGCUUGUAAAAGAGUAUUACGAUAUUUGAAAGGAACUAUCACUCAUGGUUUGCAUUUCCAGCCAAACCAAUCUUUAAAUCUUGUGGGUUUCAUAUAUGCAGACUAGGAUAGCUGUCCAGAUGAUGGAAGAUCAACAAGUGGUUAUUGUGUGUAUCUAGGAGGUGAUCUUAUUUCUUGGAGCUCAAAGAAAUAAAGUGUUGUUGCUAGGUCUAGCACCAAAUCAGAAUAUCGAGGCUUAGCUCAUGUGACAGUUGAGGUGAUUUGGCUCAAGUCCCUAGCAACAAAAUUGGCCCUUCAAUUGAGAUUAAGACUGGCAAUCUAAUGUGAUAACCAAGGAGCCGCCUCACUAGCUGCUAAUCCCGUUUAUCAUGCUAGAACUAAGCAUAUUGAAAUUGAUAUACAUUUCAUUUGUGAUAAAGUACUUAAAAAAGAAUUGGAUAUAUGGUUUGUACCCUUAGUAGAUCAAAUAGUUGAUUUGUUUACAAAACCACUUUCAAUCACUCGAUUCUUGAAACUUAAGGCCAAACUCCAGGUGAAAGAAUCCUUCUUUUGUUUGAAGGGGCGUGUAACGACAAAUAGUGCACAACUGAAGAACAUAAUUGCAACAGCUUCAGCCAUGUCAUCCUCUCCGGAAGCUUCUGCCAUGUCAACUAUUAGCUAAAGAUUUGUUAGAUUCUAUUUUUGAUUAGUUAGCAUUAGCAAAUUAGUUAGCAAUAGAUUAGUAAGCAAAAUAGAACACUCUGCUUUUGUAUAUAUAUAAGUAGAAUAGAACCAACCUCUGUUUCAAGUAAUGAGAAACAUAAAUAGUUUUCUUCACACAUAGGAUUUGUUAUUUUUAUUUUUCUAAAAAUGUUAUAUAUUAAAGGAGACAUAAUAUUUACGGGGUUCUAUAAGAAUGUGUUAUCUAGAUCCUCAAAUAAUGAUUAAUCCAUUAAUUUUCAAAUCAAAACUACAAAGUAAAUUAAGAGAGCUUUCUCCACAUAAAUUGGUUAAAGCCUUUAAGAUUGGCAAAAACCACAAAGAUGGACUAAAGUUAUUCUAACAACUCUACCUAAAGUCAUUCUCACACACUCAAGCCACACUCUAACCAAAGGAAUUAGACUUCUUACUAGGACCACAAACCUUCAGAAAACCAAUUCCUACUCUUUGUAGUACAAAGACUCCUAACAUGUAACAAAUUAAUUAUCAAAUCAUAAUCCUUUAGGACAAAGAUUCCUAAAAUACAUCAAGUUUUUAAUUUUGUUAAAAAACAAUAAAUCUUUACCUUAAACAAAUUUUAAAUUUUCUUCCAACUUUCCAAAUUCAAAACAUUCUUUGAUAAGCGAACACUUACAUAUAUAAUCAGAAUAGUGCAAUUAUAAAGAUGUCUUAUGCGUGGAAUAUUGAAGCCAAGUCAACUGAAAUGUUGAUACUGGGUCAACUGAAGGUAGCUUCUCCAUUGGUUGUGAUAGUGGAAGCUUCUUCCCAACAACUGGAGACUGGGUCGACUUCUCCCUUACACAAAGGAUGUUCGGACAGGUUGUCCGAGCACACUCUCCGAAGCUCAAGUCAGGCACCAAAUGGAUAGGAACCUUUAGAAAGGAGAGUAAAUAGGGGAACCCUCUAGUCUUGCGUACCUGGGCUCUGUUUUAAGAGGAUUUUUAUUGUGCUCAAGGGGAAAAGCACUGUAGUGCUAAGUUGGCACCUUGACCUAAUCUGUAAUAAUGGAAGUGAAGAGAUAGAGGGUUAUGAGGAUAGGCUUUGAGAAAAAAAGUUAACGAUGUUUCAUAAUUGAGAACCUGGGUGGGCAUUCUAUUUAUUAGAUAACAUAGUAAGAACAACAUUCCCUUAGAGGUAUUUUGACAUAUUAUUUGUGAAUAUAAUGGCUCUAGCUACUUCUAGAAGGUGGUGAUCCUUUCUUUCAACAAUGUAAUUUUGUUGUGGGGUUAUUAUGUAGGAGAUUUGAUGAAUAAUGCCUUUCUUAGAGAGAGAACUUCCUAGAAUAGAUUUAAAAUAUUCUUUUUCGUUGUCUAUUUUGAGAAUUUUAAUGUUCGCAAUGUAUUGGGUGUUAAUCAUGACAUAAAAUUUUUUGAACACUCACUCUAGUUCUGAUUUUUCUUUCAAAAGAUAUACCCAACAAACCCAAGCGUGAUCAUCAAUAAAUGUGAUAAAUCAUUUUUUUUCAUUAAAUGUUUAACUCGUGAAGGGCCUUAAAUAUUACUAUGGACUAAUGAAAAAGAUGAUGAAGACUUAUUUUUUAGGAGAAUAAAUGAAAUGAACAUGCUUGGCUAAGUGACAAAUUUCACAUUCAAAGAAAUCUCCAUUAUGAAAUAGUGAUGGAAACAAAGUUCAUAAAUAUGAAAAGCUUAGGUGGCUUAGUCUAUGAUGGCACAACAUUAUUUUUUGUUCUUUAGAAAGAGACUUACAACUCACAGUUUGAGCUUGUUUAUUCAAUUCGACUUCCUUCUCAAAAUAAUAUAACCCCUCAUGUUCUUUAGCAUUGCCAAUCUUCUUCCCCUAAAUCAGGUCUUGAAACACAGAAGAAGACUCAAAGAAAUGAGCACCACACUUUAAAUCUUUAGUCAACUUACUAAUAGAAAGAAGGUUGCAAGACAAAUUUGGAACAUGCAAUACAAAGUGUGGUUCAAUAUUAGGACCAAUUCUAAUAGCUCUAGUUCUACCACUGGUGAAAGAGAUCUUUCUCCUAUUUUAUCUUUGAAACUUCCUAAACUAGGAUUAUAUGAUGAGAAAAUUUUUCAUAGCCCAUCAUGUGAUCUAUGGCUCUAGAGUCAAUCACUCAUGGUUCCAGAUCCCUACUACAACUACUAAGAGCUAAGAAAAAAUUACCUCCAUAUGCUAGUAAUAAAGUAGUGGUGUCCUGUGAUGGUUUGAGUAGUUUGUACAAUUUUUUCAUUUUUCCUUUGGUAAGCAAGAACUAUGUACGUUCUCCAAAUUUUACCUCAAGCUAGGACCCGAUUUGUUAGAAAUCUCAGCUAAAAUUUGAAAACCAGAGUGAUCUCGAUUUCCAACCCUACUGUCCUUUGAAUUUGGUGGCUUACCAUGUAACUUCUUGUAGCAAUCUUUAGUGUGAUUUGUUUUCUUAUAGAAAUCACACCAAAGAUUGUUUAUCUUUUACUUCUUAGGGCAUUCUUAACCACAAACUUUGAAACUUCAGGUAAUGAUGGUUUUGAUCCACCUAUCAUAACCCAUUUUCGGCUUGACUCUCUUUGAACUUCAACAAAUAUUUAAGUAAUCAAUGGGAAAGGUUUGAUUCCUAGAAGUCAACCCCUGACUUCAUCAAGAUCAGGAUUUAAUCCUACCAAAAAAUAUCAGACUCGUUCUGUUUUAACCUACUUUUUGUAAAGUUUAGCAUCCUUAGGAUUUGACCAUGGAAUUUGGACAUAAAGAUCAAUUAAUUUAUUGCCACAAGUGAGUCAAGGCAUUGAAUUAUUAGGUAACAUCCAACUCCCCUAGUUUCAAAUCACGGGCUCCAUUUCCAAGUUAAAAAAAUUGGGUUAAGUUUUCCAUGUCUAAGCAUGCUAAAGUUUGUGCAUCCCACAUCUCCUUAGCAAUGGAAUAAUAUAAGAUAAGAUUCCUUGAUAUCUUAUUUCAUGGAGUUCACAAUCAAUGCCAUAACCAUAGAGUUUCGUGCAUCCCAUGUUGGAAAAGAGAGAUUUCUUGGAUUAUGUUUUAUUAUUGAACCAUCCACAUAUAACUAAGGUGGUCUCAUCCUCAUAUCACCAUUAGAGCAUACGGAGACCAUUGAAGGAAACUUUGAUUAUUUAGUUUCGUGGUUGUAAUUUGAAGCGGAGAAUUUUCAAAAAAAAAGUUGAAAACGAGGCUAUAGUGGAUGAACUUGUAGGGAUGGGUUGAGAGACUUUUGAAAAGACCUCAAAACUAGCAUCCUUGCACUCACCAGUGAAGGUUGUUCUAUACAUCUUUUUGUCUCAACUGAUACUAGCUCUGAUACCAUGAAAUUGGGUAAGAAAAAAAAAAACAGACCGUAAAUUGGAGAUUGCUUUUGUUUUAUUAUUUUAUUUCUUCAAUACAAGUAGAUUUAUAGGAUAGGUUUUGUAACAACCAACCCUUUAUUUUAAGAGAUUGACACCAGCUAUUUUUUAGGAUAUUCUAAUCAACUAUAAUAUCACAACUAGCAAUUAUCCUUAUUUAGAGAAUAGUAAUUAUCCAAGAUUCUCUAUAAUCUAUUUCCUACUUACCCUUGGAUCUCUAUUUUCUUUACAAGAUGCCAACUAGUGGAGGAGCUUUUAGGAUAACAUUUUGGGACCUAUAAAAGCCCUCAUAUCCGUUAGAAAUGGAACUUUGGGUUAUUAGGGAGAAGGAAAGAAGUUGAGUUUCAUCUAGCAUCUCUAUUAACUCCUGUCUUUUCUUAAGCUUAGUAAUUUUUCGUUGCAUUAUUCAUAAGUAACUAGCCUUUGAUUUUAGUCUUAUUCCUCAAAGUUUUUUUUAGAGAUUUUGAGAACUUUAUGUUUCAUCAUGAUGUUGAUUUUAAUUGUAGAUUCUAAGAUGGUUUUCUUUGUUCUUCUAGUUUUGAGUUGUGAGUAGUUUUCUAAGCUUGAGAGGAGGAGUCCAUGAGACUUCUUUCAUGAAAAACUAAUUUACAUCAUGGGGUGAAUGGAUAGUGUUUCUACCUAGUAAUUGGAGUCCUUAUUUUGUUUGGGAAGAAACCCUAUUUUCCUCUUCUUGAAAUGGAAACUUAGAGGUGGUUUAUUUUAGUUUAUUUAUUUAAUUUUUUUUUUUUGGUUACUUCAAGUUCUUGAGGAUCUUAGGACUUUUGACUUGAAAUCACUUCCAUUAAGCUUUAUGUAAAAUGCAAAAUGAACUUAAAGAUUACAAUGUUGUGGAGGUAUUUAAAUAAAAUUUCUUUUGAGCUUUAGUUGGUAAUUUCUCACAAGUGUUUUCAGUUGUAGGUUUUUUUAUUGUGCAUUGGUUGUGAAAAUGAGCCUCAUUAGACUCCGAUCCUUAGCAUUUAAAUUUCUCUUUUAGCUAUAAAAUGGUAGGUUCAAGUGUCAAAAUUUUGUUAUUUUCUAUUUUUUUUUUCAUCAUAAAAUGUGAUUGUUCAGUGAUAUUCCAAUUUGGUCACAAACACUUAAUUUUUUUUGCGAAGAAACAGAAGAUUCAUAGAUCACAACUUUUAGUGAUGAGCUUUUAUUUACAAAUUUCAUGACAAAUUUUUUUAAAUAGUGGUGAUUUAUUAUUUAUUUAUGACAAAUACUUUCAUGACAAAAAUUGAUACUUGUUGUAGUGAGGUAUUUAAAUAAAAUUUCUUUUAGGCUUUAGUUGGGGAUUACUAAUGAGUGUUCUCAGUCCUUGGUUUUUUAUUGUGCAUUGGUUUUUAAAGAUGAAGCCUUAUUGGACCCCCAAUCCUUGGUAUUUAAAUUAAUUUGUUUUUUGCAUAGAUACAAAAUCAAUUUUCUUCUAUUUCUCAAAAUAUUUUUGGAGGUUCUCUAAUUUAUUAACCUCAUAUUAAACAAGCCUCUUUCAACCACUUAUUCAAGAGAAAAUCAUUCCCACUUUUGGAACUAAUUCACCACAUAUCUCCCCAUCUUUUGCUAUCAUUUAAAACACUCUUCUUGAGAAAACUAUACCUGAACCACCAUAUUUUUUACUUGCAAAGACUCCUCAUACUUAGGAAUUGGUACCAUCACAUUUGCAUUUCAAGCAAACACAUGAUAGUGUAGACCCUCAAUUUUAUCCCUUUAGCACAUGUCUUUAAGUUCACUUCCAAUGCUUCACAGUAGUUCCUUGGUGGCCCAUAGCUACUCAUACUACUUACAUUUUUUGAGCCACCUUGGAGACUUUGGUUGAGGGAUUUAUCUAACCCCGUUGUGACUCUUGGCAGCCUUAAUUUAGACUUAGGCCCACUUAGGCACCCUAGACCCAUUUAGAUACACUUGGCCCAUUAGGCAUUACCUUAGGCCCAUUUAGAUGCACUUGGAACCUUCUAGCUUGCACACAUUCACCCUAGGUUACUUAGUCAAUCUUUCAGAAUAGGUCACUUGGACACUUCUUUUGGAAUAGUUCACUUAGGCAUGUGCUUGAUUUUGGUUAUUUAUUUUUCAGGAUAAGAUGAGUGUUGGCUUGACUUUUUAUUACAUGAAAUGAAUUUUUUAUUCUAUCUUUAUUUUAUUUUUAUUUUUAUUUUUGAAGGUUUGAGUUUGACAUUUAAAUUAUUAUAAUCCGUUGCAUUACUUUAUUUUCUUGAUUUUUUUUAAUUGCAUACGUCUUAUAUUUUUUGUUAUACCCUUAUCGAUUUAUUUGUUUAUUUACUCACUUAUUCAUUUAUUCUUUAAUUCCAUGAAUUGACAUUUUGGAUUUUUGUGGCUAUGUGAUUUGAUUUUAUAUUUGAUUUUAUUCUAUUUCCAAUUACAUGAUUUCUUAUUUCAACUUUAUUUUAAAUUUUGCAUGAGACUUGGAGCCAUCAAGGAGAGGAGAUCACGACCAAAGAGGGAAACUUGGAAGGAAUCCGGGCUGCAUAUAGAAAGUGGGCAGAUCACGACUUUAAGAAAGAAUCCGGGCUGCAUAUGAUUUGUUUGAAGAAAGAAUCCGGGCUGCAUAUAGAAAGUGGGCAGAUCACGGUUGAGGCACAUCCGGGAGCAUAUGGAAAGAAGAUUAAAGGGGAUCUGAUCACUUACCAAACAAGAUACGACUGCAUCCUUGGGGAAAUCUCCAUGUGAGCCACACAUAAUGGGCUUCCCAUAUCCACGCGCAUGUAGGAAAAAAUGGAAAUAAGAUAUUCCAUAAGGAGUGGGUUGCCUUAUAAAUAAAGGAGAGAAUCCAAGCAUAAGAGGAAUUUUUUUUUCGAAGGGGAAUAGGCCGAAAGAAUUUUCAAACGGAGACUUUUCUUUUGGAGGGCAGAGAGGACACGAGAGCAAUUCUUUUGAGAAGACGUGUGAAGAACAUUGAAGAGCCGACACAUAACCAUAAAAAAGGGAGGAGCAGCCCACAAAAUCUCCACAAAUAACGGUUUAUAGGUAAGUGUACGCUUUCAAAUUUAUCUUUGAUUUCGUUUUGAUUCGUCCUUUUAGUCUUGAGUGUUUUAAUGAUUUUUGUUCUUUGAUUUAAUUAAUCCUAUAUAAUAAAUUUCUUGUUUUAAUUUCGAUUUAGUUUUAAUUUAUUUUUCUUCUUUAGUUUGGAUGUGUUUGUGGUUUUAAUUCUUUAGUUUAAUUUAUCCCAUUAGAUAAAGUUCCUUUUUUUAUUUAUUCCAAUUCGAUUUAGUUUUAAUUUAUCUUUUAUGUUUAGAUGUGUUUGUAGUUUUCUUUAAUUUAAUUGUUUUUAUUAUAAAAGUCCCUAUUUUUAAUUUUGAUCUAGUUCAAUUUUAAUAUAUUUUUUAUGUUUAGAUGUGUUUGUGAUAUUAAUUCAUCAGUUUAAUUAUUUCUAUUAGAAAAGUUUUGUUUUUAAUUUUGAUUUAGUUCACUGUUAAUCUACCUUUUAUGUUUAGUGUUUGUCGUUUUAAUUCGUUAGUUUAACUGUUCAUAUUAGAAAAGUUCUUAUUUUUAAUUUCAAUUUAGUUCAAUUUUAAUCUAUCUCAUAUAUUUGUGAUUUUAAUUCGUUAGUUUAAUUAUUCCUAUUAGUAAAGUUCUUAUUUUUAAUUUCAAUUUAGUUCGAUUUUAAUCUAUCCUAUAUGUUUUUGCGAUUUUAAUUCGUUAGUUUAAUUAUUCGUAUUAGAAAAGUUCUUAUUUUUAAUUUCAAUUUAGUUCAAUUUUAAUCUCUCCUAUAUGUUUAAAUGUGUUUGAGAUGUUAAUUCAUUAGUUUAAGUAUUCCUCAUAGAUAAAGUUCACAUUUUUAAAAUCCCAAAUUAGUUUAAAUUUUAAUUUAGCUGUUAGUUUAAAUAUGUUUGUGAUUUUAAUUCCUUAGUUUAAGUAAUUUAAGAGAUAAAGUUUAAUUUUAUUUUAUUUUUUUUUGGAUUAAUUUAGUUUUAGUUUAUAAUUUAAUUUGAAUGCGUUAAUGAUUUCAAUUCCUUAGUUUAAAUAAUUUGUGAGAUAAAGUUUACUUUCUUUAAUUUCAAAUUAACUUAGUUUUAGUUUAUGAUUUAAUUUGAAUGUGCAAGUGAUCCUAAUUAGUUUGAUUUUAAUUUGUUUUUAGUUUAAAUAAUCACGCUAAAUAAAGUUUGUGUUUUUAAUUCCAAUUACUUUAAUUUUAAUUCAUUUUUAACUUAAAGGCAUUCGUGGAUCUUAAUUCUUUAGUUUAAAUGAUUGUAUCAAGUAAAGUUUGAGUUUUUAAUAUUCCAAUAAUUUUAUUAAGUAGAAUUUAAUUUCAAUUCAGUUUGAUUUUAAUUUGUUUUAUAAUCCGAAGGUGUUCCUGAUUUUAAUUCAAUUGUUUGAUUAACCCUCUUAGACAAAUUCCAUAUUUUUAAUUUCGAUCUUAGUUUAAUUUUAUUUUGUUAAUUUAUUUAUUUGCUUUAGUUUAAAUAUAUUUGUGAUUUCAAUUUGAUAGUUUAGCCAAUCUUAUUAGAUGAUGAUGAUGUCCUUAAUUUAAUCUAGUAUUAAUUAUUUUUAGUAUUGAAUGUGUUUGUGUUUUUUAUUUCAUUAACUUUGAAUUUAAUCCAUUUAUAUCCAAUUUUGUAGUUGAUUAUAAUUUGGUUUAAUUAAUUAAGUCAAUCACGUGUAAUUAUUUUCAUGUUUUAAGUAUGGUAAUUUUGGCUUUGAUCUAUUGACAUUUAGUAUGAGCUUUAGGAAUUUUAGAUAAUUAAUCCAGUUAAUUGUAUGUCAUUGGUUUCAUACCUUCAAGAUUUUUGAACUUUGGUCUUUGAUUCAUCAUAUUUUGUUAAAAUGCUAAUUUACCUUAAUUAAUUCCAUAUUAUUAUCUCCAUAUGCUAAGUUUGUUGGCUUUAAUAUUUGAUUGGUUAUUUUUAUUUUAAUUCAUGUGCUUCUUGAAAUCUAAAUGUUAGUCUUGGGUAAUAUUUUGUUAGUUUGUUUUAUUAGGAAGUCAUAAAUUUGAUGCCUUAGUGAUUGUUAGUUAAAUUCUUAUUUUUUGAAGGCCACUGGAAACUCAUGAAGGUUGGUCUUACCCUCACCACUUUAAUUGACAUGAUUUUCUAAAUCUUUAUUUUGUGAUUUUCGCUUUCUUUUGUUUUGAUUGGUAUUUUGUUUUCUAUGUUUUAUUAUUUUAAAAAUUAAUUCCUUUUAUUUUAAAAUCAAAACCUUUUUCUCCGAAGACCCCUUUAAGAAAUUCUUUUUUUUUAAAAAAAAAAGAAGAAAAAAUUCAUUUAGAGUUGUUAGAAUAAAAAAACCCCAUUUUCUUAAAAUAAUAUGCAACCAUUUUUUGAUCGGUUUGCAUCUUUCUCCGUUUUUUAAUGAAAAUUUUGGUUUAAAAUCAGACACGAAUCCAAGCUUAUGGUCCCACAUAAAUGGGAUAAUUCCAGGUUAGAUUUGUGUAUAUCAAUCGGGGAAUUGGUGAAACCCCUACAUAAAAAAAAAAUAAUAAUAAAAAAAAAAUAAAAAAAUAAAAAAUCUUUUCAAAACUUAUUUUUGCUACCGUCUUUGUUGGUUGUUACAAUCAUAUCUAUUUUUUUUGGAAUUGUACAUAAGAUGUGUGUAAUAAUUGAUGAUUUCGUAUUCUUUGAUCAUUUUUGCUAUGCCAAUUAGUUAAGCAUGUUAGGGUUUCUUAUUUUACUAUUUAUUAUCUAAGCCCCCCCCCCCUCUCCUGCGGAAGCACACUAUGAGCUAUAUAUGCUAUCCAGGUACGUUCCCUAAUACCCACUUUCUAAACCCCGUGAACAUGAUUGUCAUUGCGUACUAUGCCCAUGCUUGCUAUCCUAUUUGAUUGCCUUGAUAUAUAUUUGAUGCUUGUUUGAUUAUCUUUGACAAAAACACAUGUUGUGAUAUAUUUCUAUAUUAACUUUUAUGUUUCAUGAUAUCACUUGAGAAGCCGUUCAGGUACGCACUUUGAUUCUCUCUUAUGAUCAGACUUUCUUAUUUGACAUGCUAUUUUUUGAAAUCACCUAGCCUACCUAGGUAUCCAUGAUCAACCAUUUAAUUGCCACGUUUCCCUCAACUUAGUCAGUAGAGACCUCUUUAGGGCUUAGAAGGGUGCUACCUCCUAGAGGUACCUUCCUAGUAAGUAACCUGAUUCCCGGACCUAGACUCGGUUUUUUCAAAGAGAUGAUUUUUCCAAAAAUUAUGGAGUCACAUUUUAGGAUUUUUCUUUCUUGUUUUAUUUUCCCUUUAAAAUAAAAAUAAAAUAAGUGGCGACUCCGACUUUUUCCAAAAUUAAUUUUUCACAAAUAGAAAAGCAAGUCUCACCGAUCGAGCCCGCAUGUGAAAAAUACGGGUCCACAAAUUGGCGACUCCACUAGGGAUUUUGAGGAUCAAGCUUGAACACUAAUUGAGAAAAAUGUGGCAUUUAAUUGGUUGAUUAGAGGGUACCCCUUUUUUAGGCAAGGUGAUCUGGUCUACUUGUUUGUUUAGAAUGAUAUCUUAACAUGUUUGAUUGCCUUGAAUGAUCACUUGAUUGCUUACUCACUUCAGCAUGAUUCACUCUCACAUAUGCUAGAUAGGACUUUGAUUGUUUGAUAUUUAUCUGCUUCGCAUGACUGCUUGUUGCAUAACAACCAUUUCUCUUGCGUGUUCGUAUGAUUGCUUGUCUUCAUUCACUAUCUCACUUUAGAUCUUAGGUUUUUCGGAUACACCCACAUCCUUCAUUGUGCACUUUAGAUUAUCCUUGAGUGUUGAGAGAUGGGAGAGCCUUCACCAUAAAGAAACCCCCUAGGGACGCGAGGAAGUGCAUGUGUGGAGGUGAUGACCACCUUGCAUGGAAGCACCCCGUCUCCUUGGAGGCGUGCAGAGGGUUGCGUACCACUGGAGGGUACGAUCGCUUCUGCUAGGGAUCCUUUAACCCACCCAUUUUAUCCUAUAGCCACCUCAACCUUGUAAGUUAACUUAGACCCAAUUAAGAUUUCAUUCCUACACGUGGGUGCAUCUGUGGACCUUCAGAGCUGCCUUGGUCAUGAUUGGGUUCGGUUAUCCCUUAUGUAGUCUCCUUUUGGUGUGAUCAGAGAUGAGUAUCAGAUUGAGUAUAUUUGGGCUUUACUUCUACGCACUUGUCAGUUGAUUCCUACAGAGUCACAUUCGUACCGCACCUUAUCCAGUGUUUCCAUAUUUGUAGGAGGGUUUACCUUGACCGAUCUGGAUUCACUUUUGUGGAUUAGAGUUGAAGGUAGAUUGACCAGAGUAUCAGACCAGUCAGAUUAGAGAUCAGAUCAGAGGGAUAUGGACUCACAGAUAGUUACCGUCGACCAGUUUGCCGCAGCCAUGGCUUCUAUCCAGGAGGCUAUAGCUAACCUUGGUCAGAGGAUAGAUGGACAACAGACCCAACAGGUCCCAAUUCAGGAGAAUGCCCAAUUCGAUACCACAGUACCGCCACCUCCUCCGCCCAGUUAGUCAGUACCAUAGGUUAUACCUUUCACUCUGCAUAGUCAGACCGAGGUUGCCCCGUUUCCUAUCACAUUGCCUAUCCCGACCUCAGAGGACCCACAUACACGUAUGGAUAAACUUGAGCAAAGGUUAAGACAGAUGAGGGCUUCAGACGGAGUUAUUACUUAGGAGGAUUUUGAUGGAGCACCGAUAGCCAGUUUGCUAGCCAAGUUUAGGAUGCCCGAGAUUGAGAGAUACACGGGCAUAGGCUAUCCUCACAUCCAUUUGAGGCUUUAUAGUACAGUUAUGAGGGCCCACGACUGGAUGAGGCCUAGAUGGUUAUGUUUUUCCCUAUGUCCCUGAGUGGUGCGGUACAGCGUUAGUUCGCUUCAUUGGAUGUAUCACACCGUAGGACUUGGGACGACUUGACCCGGGAGUUUUUGAGAUAGUUUGCAUUUAACACUAUCAUUGAUGUUUCGAGGAGAGAGUUAGAGGUUUUGAGAUAGAGGCUAGAGGAAUCAGUCACUUCAUUCAUCUCCCGCUGGAGGGAGAAGAUUUCACAGAUCAUUAAUCGUCCUUUAGAGAAGGAUCCGAUUAGCAUGAUCAUGAGGAGCUUGCAGCCUAAAUUUGCUAGACACUUGAUGAGAUUUCCCCACACGGAUUUUGGAUCUCUAGUACAGGGUUUGUAUGGUAUAGAGGAGGGCAUUGCUAGAGGAUUGUGGCCCGAGUCUUCCCAUACUGAUUCUAAGGGGAAGAAGCCUUUAGGAGGAUAGAGAUCAAGAGAUGUUGGUGCUAUCAGUUUAGCAGGGAUGAGACUUCCUAGACACUAUCAAACGGUUGGGCAAACUUUUGGAUUCUACUAACCACCAUCACCCCAUGUGUAGUAUAGGCCACCUGCUCCCUCCAGACCCAUUACUCCUACUUACCUACAUCCAGUCUCACAGCCUGCUUUUGUCACACAUGUUAUAGAGAGACCUCCUGCCCUAUACACCCGACCCCGAGCUCUGCAGACCACCACUUAUGUGUAGAGGCCAUCACAUUAGUUCGCUUAGUUAGGUAUGCCUUUGAGUCGAGCUUUUCAUAAGCUUAUAAAGGGUGGAUUAUUGACUCCAUUGGCACCCAAGCCAGUACCUCAGCCAGUACCGCCUCAUUUUAGAUUUGACCUACACUGUUCUUAUCAUCAGGGACCAGGACAUGACACGGAUCACUGCAACGCCUUGAGACAUGCUAUUCAGGAUUUGAUAGACCAGAGUUUAGUUAACUUGGGGCAGCCAAGUGUGACCACUAACCCUCUUCCUGCCCAUUCUACACACGCAGUGCUUCCAUCUCCAAGAGAUAUUCAUCACAUGGACCUUAUAGAGGAUGACAGUAUACAUAUGUUGAGUUGGGAUGAUGGGUUACCCGAGCAAAUUGUUUUGCAUGACAGUUAUGAGAUUGAUGGGGUUUCAUUGGGUUCUUAGGCCCCUACACCAUUCAGUUUGAUCCCAGACGAGGCACCAUUCCAGUUGACUCAUCCUACACCCUUGAUUAUUGGAUGUCAUGAUACUUUUGUCCCGUUCACUUUAUGGUCAGAGGAUGAUGAUUCGGAGGGAAGAGAGAUACAGAUUGUGACUUGUAAUGGAAAGAUAGCUCAGCUACUACCACUAGUAGUUAGACCAUUUGAGGGUGCAGCCUCUCAUGAGGAGGUUAGAAUAGAGGAUGAUGAAGUUUUGAGACAGCUACAGAGCACUCAGGCCCGUAUUUCUAUUUGGAGUUUAUUAACAUCAUCCAGUACUCAUAGAGAUGCUUUGAUUCGAGCCUUGAGUCAGAUCAGGGUAGAGACUACCACCACUCCAAAGAGAUUGAUUCAUAUGAUGAAGGCCGACAGGGCCACUUGCAUUGUGUUUUCAGAUGAUGACUUGCCACUUGAGGGUUCAGACCAUGUACGCCCUCUAUAUAUCACAGUUGGUUGUUCAAGCCAUAGAGUCCCAUCUGUCCUGCUGGACAAUGACUCAGCCCUGAAUGUCUGCCCUUUAGCCACUACUGUAACCCUUGGUUUUGCACCUUCAGAUUUUGGUCCUUUUGCUCAGACAGGCAGAGCAUAUGAUAGCACUAAGAGGGAGGUUGUGGGUACCUUGGUGAUUGAUUUGAAGAUUGGUCUAGCCACAUUCUCUACUUUGUUCUAGGUUUUGAGGAUUCCUACAUCCUUUAACCUGUUACUUGGUUGACUUUGGAUACAUAGAGCUGAAGCUAUCCCUACUUCCCUUCAUCAGAAGGUGAAGUUCAUUCAUAAUGGGCAGGUUGUCACAGUACAAUCUACCAGAGAUAUGUUAGCCUCUUCCGAGCCAGUACUUCAGAUUAGUCACAGUGAGGAUGACCUAUUUUUGACUCGAUUUACUUUUGAUGAAAUACAGACUCUCGAGAUUGAGGAUUUUCGUAAAGACUUUGUGGCUAUGUCAUUUGAUUAGCACAGUAGCAUAGUGGUUCUCGAUAUGAUGAGGGGUAUGACAUUUCUACCUAGUAUGGGGUUAGGACGACGCCAGUAGGGACCCAUCAAGUUUAUAGCUGCCAUUGAUCAUGAUACAACAUUUGGACUUGGGUUCAUUCCUACCGAGGUCGAUUACCGUUACAUGACGCGGCUGUGCAAGGAGAGGGUGAGGGCCUGUUUAUCCCACACACCAUUUGAUUAUCCUAUUCGACCCUAUAGGAUGAGUUUAGUCGACUACUUUGUCAGAGGACAAGAGAUUUGACCUCGUAUAGAGGAGAUUCACAGUAUGGUUCAUACAAAUAGAAAGAUUGAGCUUCAACAUCUAUUUCACCAGUUACAGUUGAGUAAUGGGGCUCCUGGCACUUCUGUUUCUAUAUCGAUUACUCCUACGUCUCCAGAUCGAGCUAGCAUGUGGUCUCUAUGCUUUCUAGAGGAGAUCACUGAUGAUGGAGUGAUUGUUGAUCCUACUGAGAUGAUUGAUGGAGUUGUGCCUCAUGAUGAGUACCGAGAUGAGAUGGACAUGAUGACCGUGAGCUAGAUUACCAGCAUUGUUUAGCUUAAGCCUGUUUCACCAUUUGAUAUGUUUGGGAUGUCUACCAUUGAGGUUCUUGAGAGGGCCUAGAUUAUUCCUGUUCCAGAGCUUCUAGAGGAUGAUAAUAGUUUGUUUGAGGGCUCUGUUAGCCCAGUUGAGGGAGCAUCCGACCUUAUGGACCCACCUCUUUCUUUUGAUGUUUUAUCGGGAUUUGUCUCCCGCUUUAACGAUGUUUUUGUUGCUUCAUUUAUGGAUUUGAGUAUUUUUUUAGUAUUCGCCUGCCUCUUGUGAUAGUACCUCUAUAUCUGCACCCCACUCACCCACUUCACAUAUAUUUGAUAUAGAUGAUGAGGUUGCACAACCCAAUCCAAAUAGGGACUCUUCUGAUCAUGACUCCGAUCUCGUGGAUGAGAAAGUUUCACCUGCUACAAGGGAUGUUGAGAAUGUUGAUUUUGGCAUAGAGGAUCAGCCUAGAGAGCUGAAGAUUGGUUCACCCCUAUCUACAAAUGAGAGAGAUAGACUUAUUCAUUUACUCAGGUCAUACUUGGAUGUCUUUGCAUGGUCUUAUGAGGACAUGCUUGGUCUUGAUCCCUCUAUAGUUCAACACCACUUACCUAUCCUACCACAUGCCAAACCAGUUAAGUAGAAAUUGAGACGAUUACAUCCACGUUGGAGUCUGCAGGUGAAAGAGGAGAUUCAGAAACAGCUCAGUGUUGGAUUCAUAUCAAUGGUUGAGUAUCCAGAGUGAUUGGCUAAUGUUGUCCCUGUUCCCAAAAAGGAUGGCAAAGUUAGAGUUUGUGUUGACUUUAGAGAUCUUAAUAAAACCAGCCCUAAAGAUGACUUUCCUCUCCCACACAUUGAUUUGUUGGUCGAUAGCACUGCAGGCCAUUCGCUGUUAUCUUUCAUGGAUGUGUUUUCAGGGUAUAAUCAGAUUUUGAUGACUCUAGAGGAUAUGGAGAAAACAACCUUUAUUACUGAGUGGGGUACCUACUGUUACAAGGUUAUGCCAUUUGGGUUAAAGAAUGAAGGAGCCACUUAUCAGAGGGUCGCUACUACUUUAUUUCAUGACAUGAUGCAUAGGGAUGUUGAAGUUUACGUGGAUGAUAUGAUUGUGAAAUCCCGAGGCAGAGUAGAUCACCUAGAGGCUCUAGAGAGAUUCUUUGAGAGGAUCCGAAAGUUUAGAUUGAGGUUAAAUCUUAAGAAGUGCACCUUCGGAGUGACUUCUGGGAAGUUAUUGGGACAUAUGGUUAGUGAGCGAGGCAUAGAGGUCAACCUAGAUAAAAUCAAAGCCAUACUUGACAUGCCUGCACCGAAGACUGAGAAAGAGAUUAGAGGUUUUCUGGGCAGAUUAUAGUACAUCAGUCGUUUCAUAGCCAGAUUGACAGACAUAUGUGAGCCUAUCUUUUGUCUUUUGAGGAAGAACCAACCAACAGUUUGGAGCGAUGAUUGCCAGCUUGCAUUUGAGAAGAUUAAAUAGUAUUUGCUUUCUCCUCCUGUUUUAUUGCCUCCUACGCCAGGACGUCCACUUCUUCUAUAUUUGUCAAUUUCAGACAUGGCCUUGGGAUGUAUGUUAGCUCAGAUUGAUGACUCAUGGAAUGAACGAGCUAUUUACUAUCUGAGUAAGAGGAUGCUGGAGUAUGAGAUGAAGUAUGUUAUGAUUGAGCGCCUAUGCUUAGCAUUAGUUUGGGCUACCAGGAGAUUGAGGCAUUACAUGACAGAGUACUCACUGCAUUUGAUAUCCUGUCUAGAUCCAUUGAGAUACUUAUUUGAUAGACCUGCAUUAACUGGUAGACUGAUGAGAUGGCUCGUGCUUUUGACAGAGUUCGAUAUCCAGUACGUUUCUCAGAAGUCUAUUAAGGGAAGUAUUGUCGCCGACCACCUAGCCUCACUAUCGACAUCUGAGGAUAGACCAGUUGAUGAUGAUUUUCCAAAUGAGGAGUUUGUUGCUAUGACUAGCUUAUCAGGAUGGUGCAUGUACUUCGAUGGUGCAGCCAAUUAAUCAGGGUAUGGGAUAGGUGUUCUGUUGGUAUCCCCUCAGAAUGAUCACAUUCCGAGGUCUGUUCGUUUGACAUUCUCUUAUCGACAUUCUAUCACGAAUAAUAUAGUUGAGUAUGAGGCUUGUAUCCUUGGUUUAGAGACUGCGUUGGAGCUUGACAUUAAACAGAUAGAGGUAUUUGGUGACUCCAAUCUGGUACUUAGACAAAUUCAGGGAGACUGGAAGACUAGGGACGUAAAGCUUAGGCCGUAUCACGCUUAUUUGGAGUUACUGAUUACGAGAUUUGAUGACUUGAGAUAUGUUCAUCUGCCCAGAGCGCAGAACCGAUUUGCCGAUGCCUUAGCUACCCUAACUUCUUCUAUGGACAUUCCGAUUGAUGUAGUUGUACGUCCAUUGCUGAUUGAGUUGAGAUUUGCACCUACCUACUAUUGUUUGAUUGGAGAAACAGAGGUCCAGGAUGAUCUACCUUGGUAUCAUGACAUUUAUCAGUUUCUUAGAUUUGGCACAUACCCUGAGGUAGCCACUGCCAAGGAUCAGAGAGCACUGAGGCAUUUGCCUAUUAGAUUUGUGAUUUGUGGAGAUACUUUAUAUAGGCGAUCAGCUGAUGGUAUGCUUCUAUUAUGUUUAGAUUGAGCCUCUAUAGAUCGAGUGAUGAGAGAAGUUCAUGCAGGAGUUUGUGGUCCACAUAUGGGAGGACACAUGCUGGCUAGUAAAAUUAUGAGGAUAGGUUAUUUCUGGUUGACUAUGGAGACAGAUUGUUGUCAGUUUGUUUAGAAAUGCCCAGAGUGUUAGAUUCAUGGUGAUCUCAUUCAUGCACCGCCAUCAGAGUUACACACUUUGACCUCGCCAUGGCCAUUUUCAGUAUGGGGUAUUGAUAUUAUUGGGAAGGUUUCACCAAAAUCUUCAUGUGGUCAUGAGUUCAUCCUAGUUGCCAUAGAUUAUUUCACCAAGUGGGUGGAAACCGCAUCAUAUGCGAGGUUGACAUUUGCUAGGGUUGCCAGUUUCAUCAAGUUACACAUCAUUUGUCGUUAUGGGGUUCCCCAUGAGUUGAUUUCAAAUAGAGGGGUGCACUUCCAAGCUGAGGUAGAUACUUUGUUACAGAAGUAUGGCAUCCGACAUCAUAGAUCUUCAGCAUAUAGGCCACAGACCAACAAGGCAAUAGAGGCUGCGAAUAAGAAUAUUAAGAGGAUUUUGAGGAAAAUGGUUGAAACUUCUCGAGAUUGGUCAAAGAAACUCCCUUUUGCAUUGUGGGCAUACUGUACCUCUUUUCGCAGCUCUACAGGAGCUACACCUUACUCGCUAAUGUAUGGUAUGAAGGUUGUUUUGCCGGUUGAGACAGAGAUGGGUUCUUUGAGAGUAAUCCUUAAGCAGCAGAUUUCUGAGACAGAGUGGGUUUAGGCUCGGUUUGACCAGCUUAACCUUUUAGAUGAGAAGAGAUUGAGAGCAACCAAUCAUGUUCAGGCCUAUCAGAGGAAGAUGGCUCGUGCCUUCAGGAAACGGGUUAAGCCUAGACCAUUACAAAAAUGGGAUUUAGUUUUAAGGAUUCUCAGAGGUUUGAUUGGAGACCUUAGAGGAAGUUUAGACCUAGUUGGAGUGGGCCUUAUGUUAUUUGAGAGUUGACUCCAGAAGGGGCUGCAUGGUUGACUGACUUAGAUGAAAACCAGUUUUCAAAGCCUACCAAUGUGGAUCAACUGAAGAAGUAUUAUGUUUGAGAUUAGGGUCGCAGGAUGGAUGGCCAUCAUUUCAGUCAGCCUUACACCUUAUCACAUUUAUUAAUGUAUUAAACCGUUGCUAGCCUAUUGAACCCCACAUGGUAUGUUAUAGCCUUAUUUCUUUCUUAUAGCCUUAAUUACCAUUUCUAUACCCUGGUUAGGGCCCUUUGAUGUUUAUGCAUGCUUUGCUAGGAAAGUCUCAUGAGUUUUAGACUUAUAGGCCUAUUUUCUCAUUCUUGUUACCAUCCCCUUAUCACCCCCGUUUGUUCUAUUUUACUAUCAUCACAUUUUCAUUAUCUUAUUGUGUUUAUCAUUAUUUGCUUCAUCUUAUCUCUUCUCUUUCUUGGGUUGAUGAUUCUUCACAUCUUGGUGCAAAAGAGGGCAGUCAUAUCACUCCAUCCAUCCCAUCAAUUGGCAUCGAUUCAGAGAUUUUAGUUUGAGAGGUUGUCUCAUGGGUUGGGGUUCAUGUAUUCAUCAGUGGUUUGAGAGAGUUUGUUCACUCCUUGUAUCUUUCCCAUUGGAGUCCGAUUUAUUGAUGAUCAGAAGAUGCACAUUCAAAAAAAAAAAAAAAAACGCAAUGACAUGUUUGUGUAUGGUAUCUUGCUCCAUUGGGCACUUAUAUCACCUUUUGAGGUUUAUUUACUAGGUAUAUUAGUCAUUGUGGGUUCUUGUGAGAUUUUUAUACGAGUUUUCACUCCUUGAGCCACUCUUGUUAUGCAUUUGGAGUGUUGGGGGUUCAUGUGAGGGUUCUAUGGUAUCCUAUGCUUCUUGGGUCAUGGUAGAUAUGUGUUAGGUAUGAGAGAUGAGUGACCUUUUACUAGGGUCUCCAGAUCAUUGUCUUAUCCACUAUUACAUCGUUGGUUAUAUGACUUUGCUUUAUUGUACUGAUAUGGAUUGAUCAUCAUUCAUUCCCCUUUCUUAUUGCCUUACUUUGUAUCUCCUUACCCAUUUCCAGAUCUUCAUUCCACUUUUUAUCCAUUUCCUACAUAUUGAUACACGUUUUUUGAUUCGAUACCUUAUUCACAUCAUUUACAUGUUUCAUUGAUGGUUUGACCACUCAUCCUUUCUCUCAUUUCGCCCUUGACAUUUCCUUUGGUUACCUUUAGGUCCAUGGCUCAUGAGGUUUUUUUCUAUGCAUUACAUCUUAUACACGAGAGUAUGGGUUUGAUCAUUGGGUAUUUGAGCCUAGUUUCCCUUCAUUUCUUUCAUCCUAUCACCUUGACCUACGUUAUGUCUCGUGUCUUAAGACCACCCUGAGGCCAUGAGAUCAGGCGUUAUCUUUGACAGUCUUCACUUGGACAGGCUUUUGUAGACUGGUUGAAGUAUAGUCGUUACCAUGUUCUCUUUUAUGGAAGAUACUUUUGGAAGAAUUUGGUCUCUCUCUUGCUUGACAUAUUGAUGUUUGAUGGAUUUUUGAGUUUGAAGACAAUUCAUUGAUGAUAUCGGAUUUAUCCUUUUGUCGACAUCAGAUAUCCAUACUGGGGCAUAUUCCCCUUUCAUUCGGUUGAGAUGAGCCCCUAGUGGAGCACUUUCUUUGAGUUUGGGCUUAUUUUCACUGAUUCGAGAUUCCUAAUAGAGUAUGUUGAGAUGAUAUCAGUUAUAGUGGAGCAUUAUUGAGCUUAUUGACAGUUUUUAUGAUUCUAGGUUCCAUUUGCGGAGUAUUUUUGAGAUAGACUAGUGGAUCAUUUUUAAGUUGGAGGCAAUUUUCAGUGCAGUGUAUAGAUCUUAUAUAUUGGGGUAUAUUUUCCCAUUUUGAGGUCACCAGAUUCCCAUCAGAUUUAGUUAGGGAUUCAUCAGAGAAGUGCUUCUACUCUCGAGAUUAUCAUAUUCCUUAUCAUUUUGGUUAUUCAUUUGAGAUCAGAUUUAAAGUGUCUUCCUUGAGCCAUCGGCUGAUACUUCAUUCUGAUUUCUUAGCGGAUUAUUGUUGAGUUGGAGACAGUUGAUUGAUGAUGUUAGAUUCAUCAUUUUGAUUGUGCAUCAGAUAUCCACACUAGGGCAUAUUUCCCCUUUUCUUUGAGGUUUCUAGUUGUUGUUGGAUGAUAUGACUAUUCCUAUCCAUGGUUAUAGAGAUGUUUGAUUGAUUUUGACGGAUUCUUUAUUGUACAUCAGAUAUCCAUACUGGGGCAUAUUCCCCUUUCCAUGAUGAGAUUAUGUUCGGGCAGCAGUACAUAGAUGGAUGAUCAUUGUUGGUUGUUUAUCUCAUAACUUCGACAUCAUAUAUCCAUACUGGGGCAUAUUCCUCUCUCCUUUACGAGAUUUGUUUGGGUAGUGGUAUGAGGAUGGAUGAUUAGUGUCGGUUGUUUACCUCAUGACUUUGAUAUCAAAUCUUAUACUGGGGCAUAUUUCCCCAUUUUCUUUUAGUAUCCUUGAGAUUGAGACAGUGGCCAGCUUAGUUUUAGAUUGAGUGCCAGUCUGGAGUUUCCGACGAUUGACUUCAUUAGGACCCCCCUAUAAGGAUUUGUUGAGAUAGAGAUGGAUCAUAUCGGGUUUUACCCGAGGAGCAUGGGUGGAUCCUUUAGCCAAAUGUUCAUAGGAUAGAUUUGUUUUCGUCAUUGUUACCUUGAAGAUUGGAUUACCCAGAUGAGCAGUAUUUUGUGCACUUUGAGAUUUGUUUUUAGAUAAGCCACAAUAUACACACUUUGAGAUUUACCUUUUGAGAUCCGUCGACAGAGCAGCUUUUCAGACACAGAGAGAGUUCUUUCAGUUUAGACUUUUCAGAGGUUUGUCAUGAUACAUCGGUUUCUGACCUAUUGAUUUCAACGGAUGAUUGAUUUACUGGUUGUUUCAACACUGCAAGCACCCUAGAUACUGGGGCAUAUUUCCCUUCUUGAGUUCAGUAGUCCAACUCUUGGCAUUUUGAGUGUAUGGUUUUGAGCCUAUUUAUUUCCUAUCCACUUUCGAGUUAGUCUUAUUUAUCUGUUGCUUCUAGACCCUGAGUCUUACAGCCCUGAGCUAUCCACUCCUUCUACGCCCUGAGCCUCGUAACCCUGAGCUAUCAUUUUCCUCUUAGUCCUUGAGCCUCAUAGCCUUGAGCUAUCCAUUCCUUCUAGGCCCUAAGUCUCAUAGCCCUAAGCCAUCCUUCUCCUCUUAGGCCCUGAGCUUCGUAGCCUUGAGCUAUCCUUUUCCUCUUAGGCCCUGAGCCUCGUAGCCCUGAACUAUCACUUCUUAUUUAAGACCCAGAGUCUUUCCAGCCCUGAGCUAAGCCUGCAUCAUUUGGUCGCCCAUGAGUGGUAUGACCUGGAGUUUGCGUAUCGCACUCUCUUUCUAGUUGAUCAGUCAUAGAGCUCCGAGCUCAUGGCCCUGAGCUAUUCGUUGUAACCCUGAGUUACUCAUUGCAUCAUGACCCAGAGUCAUUCAUUCCAUCCAUAGCCUUGAGCUAUUCAUUGUAACCCUGAGUUACUCAUUGCACCAUGACCUAGAGUCAUUCAUGACAUCUUGAGCCUUGAGCUCACGACCCAGAGUCAUUUGCAUCCUUCACAUCCCUGAGAUGUUUCGUUUCAUCAUUCUAGCCAAUUGUGAGUGGCCUCGACCCGGCACCAUGAGCCGAAAAGCAUCCUGAUCGGCUAUCCGUUUAGAGCCCUGAGUUCUCGACCUAGAGUCGAUUUUCAUUUAUGACCUAGAGUAAUUUCUUUCCAUUUAGAGCCCUGGGCUCAUGACCUGGAGUCAUUCACUCCAUCUAUGACCCAUAGUCAUUCUUAGCAUUUAUAGCCCUGAGCUCGCAACCCAGAGUCGUUUAUCCUAUUCAUGACCCAGAGUCAUUUAUCCUAUUUCCGACCAUGAGUCAUUUAUCCUAUUUUUGACCUAGAGUCGUUCAUCCUAUCCAUGACCUAGAGUCAUUCAUCUCAUCCAUGACUUUGAGUCAUCAUUUUCAUAUAUUUCCAUCUUUGUGCUACUUGUCACAUACCUUUAUCUCUUUACUGUCAUUCUCCCCACAUAGAGUAGUUUCAUCCUUGUCGUUGAAGCCUUGUGUUCCAACCUUUCUCUCGCCAUGUGCUAAGACAAAAUCUCUGGUCCUUCUUUAGUUCUUCGGUAUAGUUCACUUUGUUCCAUUCAUUAUUCGUAUUUUUACUCACAUUCAUUACACUCGCAAUCUAUACCGAAGAGGGGCAUAUUUGUAUACCCUCAAUUUUGUCCCUUUAGCACAUGUCUUUAAGUUCACUUUCAAUGUUCCACAGUAGUUCUUUGGUGGCCCAUAACUACUCAUACUACUUACCUUUUUUGAGCCACCUCAGAGACUUUGUUGAGGGAUUUAUCUAACCUCAUUGUGACUCUUGGCAGCCCUAAUUUAGACUUAGGCCCACUUAGGCACCCUAGACCCAUUUAGAUACACUUGGCCCAUUAGGCAUCACCUUAGGCCCAUUUAGAUGCACUUGACACCUUCUAGCUUGCACACAUUCACCCUAGGUCACUUAGACAAUCUUUCAGAAUAGGUCACUUGGACACUUCUUUUGGAAUAGUUCACUUAGGCAUGUGCUUGAUUUUGGUUACUUAUUUUUCAGGAUAAGAUGAGUGUUGGCUUGACUUUUUAUUACAUGAAAUGAAUUUUUUAUUCUAUCUUUAUUUUAUUUUUAUUUUUAUUUUUGAAGGUUUGAGUUUGACAUUUAAAUUAUUAUAAUCCGUUGCAUUACUUUAAUUUCUUGAUUUUUUUUAAUUGCAUACGUCUGAUAUUUAUUUUUAUACCCUUACCAAUUUAUUUGUUUAUUUACUCACUUAUUCAUUUAUUCCUUAAUUCCAUGAAUUGACAUUUUGGAUUUUUGUGGCUAUGUGAUUUGAUUUUCUAUUUUAUUUUAUUUUAUUUCCAAUUACAUGAUUUCUUAUUUCAACUUUAUUUUUAAUUUUGCAUGAGACUUGGAGCCAUCAAGGAAAGGAAAUCACGGCCAAAUAGGGAAACUUGGAAGGAAUUCGGGCUGCAUAUUAUUUGCUUGAAGAAAGAAUCCGAGCUGCAUAUAGAAAGUGGGCAGAUCAUGGCUGAGGAACAUCCGGGAGCAUAUGGAAAGAAGAUUAAAGGGGAUCUGAUCACUUACCAAACAAGAUACGACUGCAUCGUUGGGGAAAUCUCCAAGUGAGCCACACAUAAUGGACUUCCCAUAUCCACGCACACGUAGGAAAAAAUGGAAAUAAGAUAUUCCAUAAAGAGUGGGUUGCCUUAUAAAUAAAGGAGAGAAUCCAAGCAUAAGAGGAAUUUUUUUUUCGAAGGGGAAUAGGCGGAAAGAAUUUUCACAUGGAGACUUUUCUUUUGGAGGGCAGAGAGGACACGAGAGCAAUUCUUUUGAGAUGACUCGCGAAGAACUUUGAAGAGCCGACACAUAACCAUAAAAGAGGGAGGAACAACCCACAAAAUCUUCACAAAUAACGGUUUAUAGGUAAGUGUACGCUUUCAAAUUUAUCUUUGAUUUCGUUUUGAUUCAUCCUUUUAGUCUUGAGUGUUUUAAUGAUUUUAGUUCUUUGAUUUAAUUAAUCCUAUCUAAUAAAUUUCUUGUUUUAAUUUCGAUUUAGUUUUAAUUUAUUUUUCUUUUUUAGUUUGGAUGUGUUUGUGGUUUUAAUUCUUUAGUUUAAUUUAUCCCAUUAGAUAAAGUUCCCUUUUUUUUUAUUCCAAUUCGAUUUAGUUUUAAUUUAUCUUUUAUGUUUAGAUGUGUUUGUAGUUUUCUUUAAUUUAAUUGUUUCUAUUAUAAAAGUCCCUAUUUUUAAUUUUGAUCUAGUUCAAUUUUAAUAUAUUUUUUAUGCUUAGAUGUGUUUGUGAUAUUAAUUUGUCAGUUUAAUUAUUUCUAUUAGAAAAGUUUUGUUUUUAAUUUUGAUUUAGUUCACUGUUAAUCUACCUUUUAUGUUUAGUGUUUGUCGUUUUAAUUCGUUAGUUUAACUGUUCAUAUUAGAAAAGUUCUUAUUUUUAAUUUCAAUUUAGUUCAAUUUUAAUCUAUCUCAUAUAUUUGUGAUUUUAAUUCGUUAGUUUAAUUAUUCCUAUUAGUAAAGUUCUUAUUUUUAAUUUCAAUUUAGUUCGAUUUUAAUCUAUCCUAUAUGUUUUUGCGAUUUUAAUUCGUUAGUUUAAUUAUUCGUAUUAGAAAAGUUCUUAUUUUUAAUUUCAAUUUUAAUCUCUCUUAUAUGUUUAAAUGUGUUUGAGAUGUUAAUUAUUAGUUUAAGUAUUCCUCAUAGAUAAAGUUCACAUUUUUAAAAUCCCAAAUUAGUUUAAAUUUUAAUUUAGCUGUUAGUUUAAAUAUGUUUGUGAUUUUAAUUCCUUAGUUUAAGUAAUUUAAGAGAUAAAGUUUAAUUUUAUUUUAUUUUUUUGGAUUAAUUUAGUUUUAGUUUAUAAUUUAAUUUGAAUGCGUUAAUGAUUUCAAUUCCUUAGUUUAAAUAAUUUGUGAGAUAAAGUUUACUUUCUUUAAUUUCAAAUUAACUUAGUUUUAGUUUAUGAUUUAAUUUGAAUGUGUUAGUGAUCCUAAUUAGUUUGAUUUUAAUUCGUUUUUAGUUUAAAUAAUCACGCUAAAUAAAGUUUGUAUUUUUAAUUCCAAUUACUUUAAUUUUAAUUCGUUUUUAACUUAAAAGCAUUCGUGGAUCUUAAUUCUUUAGUUUAAAUGAUUGUAUUAAGUAAAGUUUGAGUUUUUAAUAUUCCAAUAACUUUAUUAAGUAGAAUUUAAUUUCAAUUCAGUUUGAUUUUAAUUUGUUUUAUAAUCUGAACGUGUUCAUGAUUUUAAUUCAAUUGUUUGAUUAACCCUCUUUAACAAAUUCCAUAUUUUUAAUUUCGAUCUUAGUUUAAUUUUAUUUUGUUAAUUUAUUUAUUUGCUUUAGUUUAAAUAUAUUUGUGAUUUCAAUUUGAUAGUUUAGCCAAUCUUAUUAGAUGAUGAUGUCCUUAAUUUAAUCUAGUAUUAAUUAUUUUUAGUAUUGAAUGUGUUUGUGUUUUUUAUUUCAUUAACUUUGAAUUUAAUCCGUUUAUAUCCAAUUUUGCAAUUGAUUAUAAUUUUGUUUAAUUAAUUCAGUCAAUCACGUGUAAUUAUUUUCAUGUUUUAAGUAUGGUAAUUUUGGCUUUGAUCUAUUGACAUUUAGUAUGAGCUUUAGGAAUUUUAGAUAAUUAAUCCAGUUAAUUGUAUGUCAUUGGUUUCAUACCUUCAAGAUUUUUGAACUUUGGUAUUUGAUUCAUCAUAUUUUGUUAAAAUGCUAAUUUACCUUAAUUGAUUCCAUAUUAUUAUCUCCAUAUGCUAAGUUUGUUGGCUUUAAUAUUUGAUUGGUUAUUUUUAUUUUAAUUCAUGUGCUUCUUGAAAUCUAAAUGUUAGUCUUUGGUAAUAUUUUGUUAGUUUGUUUUAUUAGGAAAUUAUAAAUUUGAUGUCUUAGUGAUUGUUAGUUAAAUUCUUAUUUUUUGAAGGCCAUUGGAAACUCAUGAAAGUUGGUCUUACCCUCACCACUUUAAUUGACAUGAUUUUCUAAAUCUUUAUUUUGUGAUUUUCGCUUUCUUUUGUUUUGAUUGGUAUUUGGUUUUCUUUGUUUUAUUAUUUUAAAAAUUAAUUCCUUUUAUUUUAAAAUCAAAACCUUUUUCUCCGAAGACCCCUUUAAGAAAUUCUUUUUUUUUUAAAAAAAAAAAUCAUUUAGAGUCCUUAGAAUAAAAAAACCCCAUUUUCUUAAAAUAAUAUGCAACCAUUUUUUGAUCGAUUUCCAUCUUUCUCGGUUUUUUAAUGAAAAUUUUGGUUUAAAAUCAAACACAAAUCCAAGCUUAUGGUCCCACAUAAAUGGGAUAAUUUCAGGUUAGAUUUGUGUAUAUCAAUUGGGGAAUUGGUGAAACCCCUACAUAAAAAAAAUAAAAAAUAAAUAAAAAAUCUUUUCAAAACUUAUUUUUGCUACCGCCUUUGUUGGUUGUUACAUUCAUAUCUUUUUUUUUGGAAUUGUACAUAAGAUGUGUGUAAUAAUUGAUGAUUUCGUAUUCUUUGAUCAUUUUUGCUAUGAGCUAUAUAUGCUAUCCAGGUAUGUUCCCUAAUACCCACUUUCUAAACCCCGUGAACAUGAUUGUCAUUGUGUACUAUGCCCAUGCUUGCUAUCCUAUUUGAUUGCCUUGAUAUAUAUUUGAUGCUUUUUUUUUAUUAUCUUUGACAAAAACACAUGUUGUGAUAUAUUUUUAUACUAACUUUUAUGUUUCAUGAUAGCGCUUGAGAAGCCGUUUAGGUACGCACUUUGAUUCUCUCUUAUGAUCAGACUUUCUUAUUUGGCAUGCUAUUUUUUGAAAUCACCUAGCCUACCUAGGUAUCCAUGAUCAACCAUUUAAUUGUCACGUUUCCCUCAACUUAAUUAGUAGAGACCUCUUUAGGGCUUAGAGGGGUGCUACCUCCUAGAGGUAUCUUCCUAGUAAGUAACCUAAUCCCCGGACCUAGACUCGGUUUUUUCAAAGAGAUGCUUUUUUCAAAAAUUAUGGAGUCACAUUUUAGGGUUUUUCUUUCUUGUUUUAUUUUCCCUUUAAAAUAAAAAUAAAAUAAUGGCGACUCCGACUUUUUCCAAAAUUAAUUUUUCACAAAUAGAAAAGCAAGUCUCUCCGAUCGAAUGAGGGCGCAUGUGAAAAAUGCGGGUCCAUAGAUAGGCCUCUCAUUUCUAAUGUAUGCAAGUUUUAACUGUAUACCAUGGUAAAUUAGAUGAGAAACUAUAGUAAAUUGGAUGAAAGAUUAACCCGACGUGAUUUCUUUGUCAAUUUGGAAGGAUGGUGUAAUUUUAGGAAAUGACAAGCUUGCACAUAAUUAUAAUUAUAUUUUGAUGAACGAGACAAUUGUUUAAUGUUCUAUCUUGGUGUUUGGCAUUCAACAAAUUAUGUUCAUAUUUAAUUAAAAAGUUUAAUGUAACCUUGUAAAUGCAUAGUUUAUACUCACAUUGUUUAGAUCAUAUCUGGAAAGUUGAAAAAAAAAAUGGGACUCCAUUACAUAUCUCAUUAAUAAAUAUGUAUGAAUUACUUAUUAAAAAUAGAAAUAGGUCAUCCAUGCCAUGAGAAGUCAUGCCUCCAAAAGCAAAAAGCAAAAAACAAGUUCUUACAAUUCAACUUUUUUGGCAUCCAUGAUGAGUUUAUCAACCUAACUAUUACCCACCAACUAAUAAUAAUUGUAGCAUUAAUGCGAGUCAACUAACAAUCCUUCUUCCAUUUACCUCUAUCUUGGAAUUUGAUCUAUUAAAUUUUCUUCCUUUUACCUCUAUCUUGGUAUUUGACAUGUUAAAAUUGGACCUUCACUCCAUGUUAUAUACGAGCAUAGUUUUUAAGUAGAAAUAGGUAUAGUUGCUAUGCUACUAAAUUUUAUAUUUGGAAAUUGGAAAUAUUAAAAAUGUUUUAAUUGAAAAUAAAUAUAAUUUUAAUAUUUUCAAAUAUUUUAAUGAAAUAAAAUUAAUUUGGUGUCCCAUUUUUUUUUUUCAGGAUCAAUAAAGUGUGAACCCCAUAUUUAAGAAUCCUACGUAACUAUGUUUAGAAUUUGUAAAUGACAUAUAAACAUUCAUUGACCUAAAAACUCUCCUUGAGAGGUUUAAUUAAUAUAUACUGGAAAUUUCCACCCAAAAAACAUAGCACAAUACCUUGUUUGAGGUAAAUUUAGUGGAAUGCAUUAUGGGAAUUGCUCAAUAGUUAAAAAUGAGGGUGUGCUUGUUAAACUCAAAAGAUUAAAUACGUGGUCAACGUGAGAACUGAUACCAAUUUUUCAGACGAUACAACAACCCAACUGUCAAUUCAUAAAUUUUAUAUAAAUGAGGAGACAUACUGCUCCUUGGACCAAGGUAGAUUUUGUUUUUGAGUCUACGUUAUUUUCUCCAAAAAAAAUAUUAUAACUAUAAAAUUGUUUUCUAUUUUUUAUUGUUAAAAACAAAAAAACAUAUAUUUUCAGAUAAUAUCUUUUAAUAAUUUUUCAUUAUUUUUGCAUAUUUUUUUAAUGUAGUUUUGAAAAAUAAUUAUACAAACAUGGAAAAUAAUUAAAAAUAAAAUACUAGAUAUACAAAUUAUUUUAAAAAUAGGUUAAAUAUAAUUCAGGUUCCUAAAGAGAAUUUUGUUUUAUAAAACACUAUAAAAUAGUUUUUAAAAACUAUUUUUUACAAUUGUUUUAAAAAACAAUUACCAAUUACCAAAUAGGGCCCUAAAAAUAGAGAUGUGUCAAUAUUAACUAACAAGCUAGAAAGAGAGAUGUGUUAAUAUUAUAAUUAACCAUUAUAGGCAAACAUUGAAGUCAUUCUAUCAUAUCCAAAAUUGGCACCAUAAUUUUCCAUUUUCAACUUAUUUUCUUUUUACCGAUGUAACUAUGUGGAAAUUUCUUGUUUUAUUAAUUCAAUAUGCAUGAGAUAUUUCAAUGGUCCAUCCGUCUAAUUAAUGGUUGGAAACCGAUAGAAAUAUGAAACAACUUUUUCAUAUUGUUAAGAAUCUUUUAAAAUGUCUUUCUUUUGUCACUUCAAAUGAUUGGGUUCAUUAAUCUUAACCAUUCAUUCAAUGCUUGAGUUUGCAUCCACUGCUCACAUCCCUAUCCACCAUUAUACAUAUUGAUAUAUUUAUUAUUUUUGUUUUUAUUUCUAAGAUUAACAACUUUGGAACAUAAAAUGAUUAGGGAGUAGAGCAUGAAUGCAAGAACAACUUUUGAACUUAAACAUUAAGAUUGAAAUGGUCUAAAUCAGAUCAAGUGAUUUACUUGUGUGUUGGGUGUAUCCCAGAAGCCCACAUCAAAUGGAAAAUCACCCUCACCUCCCUGGAUUUGUUCAAUCAUACCAUCCAUGGGUCCCUUUUUCUGUGUUGCAGUUUCUUCUGUCCUGAGGCUUGCGAUAAGCAUCUCUCCAGAAGCCGAAAAGUCAGUUUCUUGAUCCAUUUGAGCAUGCUCAGCUAACAGGCUUUCCCACCAUAUGAUGUCAUCAUUCGGUUGUGGUGAAGUGGAUGAUGGCUUCCUGGAAGUACUGACUUGUGUGUCAAAAGUAUCCACAGCUGUAGUUUUUAGUUCAAACCUUGGCAAGGCUUUGGAGAACUUGUGAGGGUGAGGCUUUAUAGCUUUGGUUUUAGAAUGUGUUUGGGGUUUAUCUCUCCCUUCUUCCUGGAACUGAACCUCCUUUUUGAAGUGGUGACUAUGCCAAUAGUUCUUGACAUCAUUAGCAGUCCUCCCUGGAAGCCUACCCGCAAUCAAGGACCA
rnacentral:lncRNA from 1 species